rnacentral:lncRNA from 1 species
CAAAUUUCUUCCUAGUUCCAUGUUGGCAUCUUCUUGUUUUGCUGCAUCGGUCCGGAUAGUAGGAAGACUUAUUUCAGUGGGAAUGACUGCAUCCAUUCCAUAUGUGAGGGCGAAAGGAGUGUUUCCUGUCGGUCGUCCGGGUGUGGUUCGAUAGGCCCACAGGACGCUGGGUAGCUCCUCCACCCACUUCCCUUUGGCUUGCUCAAGCCUUUUCUUUAAGGCAUUGAUUAGAGUUUUGUUUGUGGCUUCCACCUGCCCAUUGCUUUGAGGAUAACGCGGCGUGGAGUAUGAAUUCCGGAUAUUCAGUUCCGAACAGAAAUUCCUGAAUGCAAUGCUGUCAAAUUGUGGACCAUUGUCAGCUAUGAUGAUUUGGGGAAUUCCAAAGUGGCAAACAAUGUUCUUCCAUACGAAUUUGGUGACAUCUUUAUCUUUGAUGCUUGCAUAUGCUUCAGCUUCUACCCAUUUACUGAAGUAAUCAGUGGCGACAAGGAGGAAUUUCUUCUGGGCAGGUGCUGCUGGGAGGGGUCCCACUAUGUCCAUGCCCCACUGCGCGAAAGGCCAUGGGCUUGAGACCGAUUUCAAUGCUGCCGAUGGCAUAUGUGGAAUGGGAGCAUAUCUUUGAUAUUUAUCACAUUUUUGGACAUAUGCUGCCGCGUCUUUCUUCAUUGUUGGCCAAUAGUAUCCUUGUGAAUGAGCUCUAUGUGCCAGGGAUCGUCCUCCCGUAUGAUUUCCGCAUAUUCCUUCAUGUAAUUCAGCUAGCACAUACUAGGCCUUUGAAUACCCAAGACAGCGAAGAUAAGGCCCUGUGAAGGAUCGCUUGUACAGGUGCCCCCCAAUCAGGGUGAAACGGGCAGCUUGCACUCGGAUUUUGUGCGCUUGUUUAGGAUCUUCGGGUAAAGUGCCUGUCCGGAGAUAUUCUGCAAUAUCAUGCGUCCAUUCUUGAUCAUCCGCUUGGAUUGCCUCAAUGGUGUUGCAAGUGGAAUUUUCUGCGACAGAGGGAUUGGCUUGUACAUGGAUAGGCAAUAGAAUGGCUUCUCUGAUGGGGAGGGAAGCAGCUAUACCGGCCAAGGCGUCAGCAUGCCCGUUGUCAGCUCGCUUAAUUUUUUCGAUUGUCCACUCGGUGAAUUGCUGUAAGGUGCUUCUUACUUUGGCCAAGUAUCGCGCCAUGUGUGCGUCCUUAGCCUCAUAUUCUUUCUGGACAUGCCUUACCACUAGUUGCGAGUCGCUGUAGAUCCGGAGUUUGGAGACGGAUAGAGCAAGGGCGAGGUCCAAUCUGGACAGGAUGGCCUCGUAUUCUACUUCAUUGUUAGACGCGGAGAAUCCCAGCCGGAUGGCUUGCUCUAGAUGUUCCCCAGUUGGGGAUUGUAGUAAGAGCCCAACUCCAGAGCCUGAUGAGCGUGAGGCUCCGUCAACUCGUAGAGUCCACCACUCCUGUUCACUUGAUUCGUGGUGCUGGUUGGGUCUUCGUGAAUAUUCGAGCACGAAGUCGGCCAUUACUUGGCCUUUUUUGGAUAAUCUUGGUUGGAAUUCGAUUCCAAAUUCGCUCAAUUCGAUGGCCCAUUGUAGCAUUUGCCCAGUUAAAUCUGGUUUGUGCAGAAUGCUACGAAGGGGUUGGUCGGUCAGUACAAUCACUGGGUGGGCUUGAAAAUAGGGGCGGAGCUUUUGGGCAGCACUUCGAAGAGCUAAGGCUGUUAACUCCAUUUUUGAAUACCUGGUUUCUACAUCUGCCAAUGCCCUGCUGACAUAGUAGACAGGUUUCUGCUCCUUUGGUGAAGGGCAGCGGAAUAGAACGACGCUGAUUGCCCAUUCUGAGACAGCCAGAUACAUGUAUAGCUUCUCCUUUGGGAUGGGGCUGCUUAGGAUGGGUGGCUGCAUAAGACAAUGCUUAAUUUUUUCGAAAGCACUUUGACAACUCUCCGUCCAUCCUUGUGCUCCAGCUUUUCGUAUUGCCAAGAAGAAGGGUCGCAAUUCUUCAGUGAAGCGGGCUAUAAAGCGCCCUAAUGCGACGAGCUUGCCUGUGAGUCGUUGUAGCUCCUUCUUGUUCCUGGGAGGGGGUGUUUCCAUGACUGCCUUGACUUGAUCCGGGCUGACUUCUAUGCCUCUCUGGCUGACCAUAAAUCCCAGGAACUUGCCAGCACUUACUCCAAAGGCGCAUUUAGAAGGAUUUAGCUUCAUGCCAUACCUUCGCAAGAGGUGAAAAACUUCUUGUAAGUGAAGAUCAUGCUGCUCUCGGGUUUUGCUUUUAACCAUAAUGUCAUCAAUAUACACUUCUACCGUGUGGCCUAUUAGAGGUUUGAAGAUUUUAGUCAUUAAUCUCUGAUAAGUGGCGCCAACAUUUUUGAGUCCGAAUGACAUGACUUUGUAGCAGUAGAGGCCAUGUGGUGUUAUGAAUGCUGUCUUUUCUUCGUCAUCCGGAGACAUGGGAAUCUGGUGAUAUCCGGAGAAGGCAUCCAAGAAAGAGAGCAUCUCUUGCCCGGAAGUGGAAUCCACAAUUGAUCUAUUCGUGGUAAGGGAAAACUGUCUUUUGGACAUGCGUUAUUGAGAUUGGUGUAAUCAACACAGACUCGCCAUUUGCCCUCUUUCUUUGGUACCACCACUACAUUUGCCAACCAAUCCGGAUAAGACACUUCCCUGAUGAAUCCGACUUCCAGCAAUUUGUCAAUUUCAUUUCGGAUAACUUUUUGUCUAUCCGGAUGAAAGCGUCUAAUCUUCUGUCGAACGGGUCUGGCUGCUGGAAAGACGUUAAGCUUGUGAGAGGCAAUAGAGGGAUGAAUUCCCUUCAUAUCCGAAUGUGUCCAUGCGAAGAUGUCAUGGUUGCUUCGAAGGAUAUUUUGUAUGCUCUGAGUUUCUUCUUGUGUCAUGAGGGAACUGAUGUUUAUGAGGUGAUCAUUCUCUUCUGAGAUUUGGAUUGUUUGUAAGGGAUCUGCUGCCGGGGGAUCCUUGUCCGCCGGACCCAAUAAUUGCUAUUGGCCAUGCAUAUGGCUGGGUUCAGGGGGAGAUGCAUCCUCCUGGCUAGUUCCCGCUUCUCGUGCUAUUUGAUAGCACUGUCGAGCGGCCAACUGGCUGCCAUACAAGUCAGUUUGCCCUUCGUUGGUGAGGAAACUCACCAUUUGAUGAUAUGUGGAAGGGAUGGCUUUCAUGUAGUGAAGCCAUGUGCGUCCCAAGAUGACAUUGAAGGGUGAUAACUCUUGUACCACCGAGAAUUGCACGUUGAGAGUGACUGGGCCAGCUUGGACCGGCAGUAUAAUGUCUCCUAAGGAUGUGGUUGAUGACCCAUUGAAUCCGGAUAAGAUUCGUCCGGGGUUUUCGAGACCCGCGAGACUAUGUCCCAUAUGGCCAACAACUGAUGCUUGCACCAGAUCGACUGAACUGCUUGGGUUGACCAAGAUACGUCUUACAUCGAAAUCUCCUAUUUCUAGGGAGAGGAUGAGGGCGUCGCGAUGUGGCUGUAGCGUCCGGGUGGGAUCUACUGGUGGGAAAAUGAUUGUCCCAUCUAUGGGGCGAGGGCCCUCUCCAAUGAGACCCGGCCGGAUGGAAUUAAUGCGUUCGCGUAUUGACGCGACUCGCAGCAAUUUCUGCCUUUUCCGCUUGAAAUCGUAUUCCUCGUCAGAUGGGCCCCCGUUGAUAUAGUUUAUGACAGCCUUGGGGGCGACUGGGGCCCUCGGGGCCCCAGAGUUAUGAUGUUGAGAUGCGUUCCUUCCUCCAGUAUCUGAGCGGAGGUAUUGUUUUAAAUGUCCUGCUUUGAUGAGCCUUUCAACUAGAUACUGGAGGGACCGACAUGUCUCUGUUGUAUGACCAUGGUCUUUGUGGAAGGCGCAUUUCUUGCUGCGGUCUCUCAUGGAUGGGUCCGUUUCAAGGGGUCUAGGCCACCUGAAGUCGGACAACCCUUGGAUCAUUGGGAGAAGUUUUUCGUAUGACACGGAUAGGGGUGUGAUGGGCGGCCUAUCCGGACGACUAGGCCCGUCCUGCCUCCGGUCAACUGGUUUUGGCCGAUACGGAGGUUUGGCAUGUCUGUCCGCGUCAUCUCUAGAAGCCCGUCCGGCAACCAAAACUUGCUGAGUGGCUGCACGUACGUCAUCUUCGAGCAUUGAAUAUUUGUUAGCACGUCUGAACAAAUCGUCCAUCGUUGUAGGAGGCUUUUUGGCCAGCGAUUCGAAAAAUGGAGUGCCUGGACAGAUGCUUCUCUUGAAGAUCUGUAGGACAGCAUCCAUGCUGCAAGCCUCUAUUUGAAGUACGGCUUGGCCAAAUCGUUUCACAAAUUCCCUCAAGGAUUCGUUGUCUCUCAUUUUUAUGUUCUGGAGGGUGCUGAUAUUCUGCUUGUGUCGAGCAGAGCACAAGUACUGUCCCACGAAAGCUUCAGAGAGGUCCCUGAAAUUGUUAACAGAGUUAGGAGGUAGGCGAUGAAACCAUGAGAGGGCCUGCCCUUGAAGGCUGGCGGGGAAUACUUUGCAUAGCAAUGCAUCGUUGCCAAUAUCGAGCGUCAUAAGCUGUCGAUAGUGCAUGAUGUGAUCGAAGGGAUCGUUGGUCCCAUCGUAUGUGGAAAACUUUGGUACGAGGAAUCCCCUUGGGGGCUCGUAAUGGGUGAUAUGAGAGCAAAAGGGCGUGGAGAGCAUGUCAUCCAGCCUUUUGCUGAUGGAGCCAAUGGGUGGCUCGUUUGGGAGGUUUCUCCCAGCUGGUCGUUCCGCUAGGUGUGAGUGAACGUUCCGCAUCGCUGGGGUGACCAUGGGGUCACGAUGCGGAGGUACGUUCUGCACCAUGGGAGCGAUCAUAGGAUCGGGGCGUGGUGCCCGGGUUGUGACUACUGGUGGCCUUGAUCUCCCAGGCUCUUGUGGGCCUAGUCUUGCGCGCAUAGAACUUGACAACUGUGAUUUUCUAUCACGUUGUCUUUUUGCUGAAAAAUGAGUGGAAUCUGAGCUUUCCUCACGGGGAGCUCGAGGCAUAUGUGUACGUGGCUCAUGGGGCCUUGCGUUGUAUGCUCCUGGGACAGCUCCUGUUGACCCAGGAUAUAUUGAUUCUGGCUCUGGCCUUGAGUUUGCCACCUGGCCUCUUGAACGCUGACGACGAGGAGGACCUGACGUUGAGGCUUGAACGCGUAACACAACGUUUUCUUCCCUUAACCUCUCUGUCUCCUGAAGGAGAGCUCUUAGCUGUUUUUCGCUCGCCAACUGUCUUUUUUCGAUGGCCUGACGCCAUUCGAGAUUAUCUUCCUCCCCUCUACCAGAUGAUCGACUUUGGGAAGGUGUGGCCAUCUUUGCUAGUGACUGAAUCAAAAUAAAAAGUAAAGUUUCCCACAGACGGCGCCAAUGUUGUCGCCUCGCGUAUCCGGUGGUCCACGUUGCUGCUAGAUGGAUGGACACGCGAUUCUCAACACACAAAGGGUUCUUGAUUCAGCGGUUGUACCUGCAAAAGGCAUCCGAACAGGGUGUCCGGACACACCCUCCGAUGGUUUUGUUAGCCAUGGUAAGAGAGGAAGAUAUAUGAGGCAGUUGACUUUUUACUAGGUAUCAGGAGGUUACUCAGAGAGAGAGAGCCCGAGUUCUUCUUCGUGUGAAGACUUAUAUAUAUAGCUUUAAGGGUACUGUUCCUCUCAUUAAUGGUGAUGAGAUGUUUUAUGUUGUCAUGAUGACAUUAAGUAGCAGCAGAGACAUCAUCACCCUACGAGCGGCUGUCAGGAACCAUGGUAGGUGACGCGACUGUCAGAGAUCGUGGUAGGUGAUCAUGUAGAAUGAUCGUGGGAAGUGACUUGCUAUCACUUCAUCUUGUCUUCUCACUCUGCAGGUGACAAGAUGUGGGCCAUGGCUGCUUGUUGUGAUUGCGUGUAAGACUCGCUUUACUUUAAUUGACCAUCUAGACGAUUUAUAUCCGGAUGGCUCAUGCUGAUUAUCCGGAUGUGUUGUGGAAACUAUCCGGAUGUCUACGCUCUGCCAGCGUCGUUUGCUCUUCCUUGGAUAGGAGAAGCUGAAACGUCGUUUGCCUUUCCUUGAGGCGGUCCGGAUAGGAUAACUGCACCAUGCAUAUCCUUAGGGGAAUCCGGAUGAUGAUGGUCCGGCUGAUAACACGUGCCACGCGUCACCAUGAGCUGCGUGCCACGUGUUUCCCAAGGGGAGGGGUCCCUACACCUUCUACUUCUUCAAACUAACACUCGAGCCAACCAAAGCAAAACAAUUACGAAUUUUUUUUGAGAGUUUUGGGUUAAGUAUAAAGGAUAAUAGCUCAAUGCAUAAGUUUAGAUAUAUAUAUAUAUAUAUAUAUAUAUAUAUAUAUAUAUAUAUAAAGAGAAAACCUAAUGAACUUUGAAUCAAAUUGGAACUCGAAAACCUAAUGAACUUUGAAUCAAAUUAGAAAUCAUCUCCGACUAAAAAACAAUUUAAAAAUUUAAGAAAGAUUUGAAAUGCAAUAUAUAAAGAGAAAACCUAAUGAACUUUGAAUCAAAUUGGAACUCGAAAACCUAAUGAACUUUGAAUCAAAUUAGAAAUCAUCUCCGACUAAAAAACAAUUUAAAAAUUUAAGAAAGAUUUGAAAUGCAAUAUUUAAAUUAUUUUCCAAAUUUAUUAAAAGAUUUGAAAAAAUUAUAUUUUCUAAAUUCUCAAUUUAAUUCAUUUUCUAAAUUAAUUUUAUUAUUUGAAAAGCUUUUUAUUUUUAAAUUCUCAAUUUAUUUAUUUUUUUUCAAAUUAAUUCCUAAUUUUCAUAAUUCCACUUUAUACCUUUUGGGGGUGUUUGGUACAUGGCAAUAGGGAGUGAGAAUAGACAUCUCAUUUGUUUUCUCCCUUAUUCUUAUAUUUGGAUAAAUGUUAAGAUGAUAGAAAUUGAAUAAAAAAUUAUUCAGACAGAAAUCAAAUCCAAUUUAUAAGUCGUAUUUGAAUUCAUCAAAAGUAGGUGGUAUUCUGAUUCAUUAAACCUAUUUGAUAAUAUAAAAUAACCUAAAUUUACUAUUUUACCAUCUUAUCUUCAAGUCCGAUGCUUAUCUUCUGAUUUAAAAAACGAAUAUUUAAAAUUUUUUAAGGUUAUGAAAUUUAUCAGAUAUGAUACUGUAGACCCCCAUUUUGGACACAUUUUCUUACCAUUUCCUACAGCUCAUUCUGGCCAGUUGUCACUCUUCUAGGAGGCCACGUGCCUUCUUAGGAUUGGUCACUGUGGAAUCACUAUAGUGGAAUUGAUGGACCAAUCAGGGAAAGACACCUGGAAAAGGAAAGAAUUUUCUAGAAGGAGGGGAGCGUAUCUUCUGUUACAAGGAGGAUAGCCAGCUAGAGGCAAAGGGGGGGGUGGUGUCGUCUGGCAGCUGCAAGUUUUUGCUUUUAUGGAGACGGUUAGAGAUAUUUUUGGGGGGAUCCUUUGCUUGGGUAAGGAGGAGGCUGGUUACUCAGGGAGGAGAGAGGGAAAAACAGGGGAAUCAGAGAAGAAAACGGAGAGAGUGGGAGGGAUUCCAGGGAGAGUUUUCCAUUAGAGAGGGAGUUGAGAGCUGUGAUUGAGUUUCAGAGGAGAGGGCAAGCUGAAAACAGGGCAUUUGCUGGAAAAAGAGAGAGAUAUAGAGAGUAGGUCUUCAAGCUGCAGAGGGAGAGAGAGCUACCUUGAGAGACGAGAAAGCAAGGAGAAGACGAGAGUGGCUGCAGGCGAGAUUGGAGUGAGUUUUCAUGUUCACCUUGAUUCAUAUGGUUCUUUAUCUUUUUCGCGUUUUGGAUUGUUUUGCAUUGCUCGUCUUGUUGAUUUCUGAGUCAUUUUUAUACUCCAUCGUUGUUGAUUUUUCUGUUAUUCUUGUGGUUUGGCUUGAGAUCAUUGGGGCUUUGUUUCUUAUAUAUUCAAUAAGUCUAUUUUGAGAUCUCCCUACCUGCGUUAGCCCAUGGAUAUCGUAUGAAACGUGAGGCUAUGUUUGUUUUGUUAUGUCUUCCCUCACCUAUACUCUGUUUUCUUGGUGUAUUUUUCUUCUUUCCCCUGUUUCUAAUGUUUACCUGUGGAGAGUUGGGCACUGUGAAUGUAAGACAUGAAGAGUUUUUGAGUGCUCAUGGACAUGGGGUUCUGGGAGAGAUGAGUUCACAAGACUCCAUGGCAUCUCCUUUAUGGGCAUCUGCCUGAGUCCCCACCAUAAAUUAAGAGGAGUUUUUAUGAAUAAGGUGGCAAGCAGAUAGCAACCUGUGCAGUGUGUAAUGAUUCUUGUGGUUUGUGAAGAUCACACCAAUUCAGGCUAUUCUGAAUGUUGAAGGCAAUGGUAAGAUUUAAGACUCGCUAUCAACUCGCUUUAGUCACCUCAAAAGGAUAUAUACUGUUCAUGUAAAGAUCCUCUCAGUCAUCUAAAAUGACCAAGUGAGCAAAGAAGGUUGACGAUUACUGGGAGAUUUGUUAUUCUUUGGGGAAGUAGUUUGUAUAACCAGAUUGAGAAAGUGGAGGUCAAGCUUCUCUGUGAAUUUUGAAGGAAACAUGCAUUGAAGGAGAAAGGCUACUGAAUUUCUGAAUAGAUGCUCACCACCUCACCCAUCCUAGCUUUCACUCGACCCAUUUGCUGCAUACCUAUUAAACCAUUCAUACCCAUUCCAUGCAUAUGGCUAUAUUCAUUUCAUCGUCUCUCACAUUCAUACCCAUCAUGCGCAUGUUGCAAUCACAUUCAUAUUUUUCAUACCCAUAUCAUCAUUUCUCUCUCUUCACCACACUACAACACCAAACCCAUUUUCUCUAUCUAGCCUUUCCUUCAUCUCAUUACUAUCCCAUAUUCCAUAUCCCCCCACGAACUCUUUCUCUCAUCACCUUCGUAUUCUCCCCGCCACCUUUUCUCUCUCAUCAUCACUCAGCAUAUAUACCCAUCUUCUAUCACAUUUCAAACCCAUUCUUUCUCCUGAUGUAUGGCCUUAAGUGUCUCCCCUAAUGUCUAUUACACUUUUCCCCAACCACCUAUCUUCCAUUAAACACCAUUCGUACCCAUAUCUAUCAUCCAUUCCACCCUUAAUCCAAUGUGUCAUUUGAUGACCGCGUAUAUGAGGCUCCAUGCAUGUGCCCAUUUUCAAUUCCCCAUUCUCUUGUCUCUCAUACCUAUACCCAUUUUCAUGCUCCUCAUACUAGCUUCUCCACUGUACACUUCACAGUGUUUCAUCAGCCGCCUCGUCCAACAAAUAUAUCACUGUCAUCCCUUGUCUUGAUGGUUUCACAGAAGAAGUUCCAAUACCCAAAGAGAUGGUGUCAAGGUCCAGGUUUGUCUUCGGUAUCUCUACUGAAGAAAGAAUAAGUCAUUCAUGCAAAGGUCUUCAAGGUGCUGAAGUGACUUAGAGAGCCGAACCUCCAUUGUUUUUAUAUAUACAGUCAUGGGCAUCAAAAAGUAAGCCCAAUGAAAGUCUGGGCUGUUCUCACUGAUUUGGGUUUGAGACUAUGGAGAGACCCAGGUGAAAAGUCCAAGCCGCCAACAGCCCAUAUGCAAGGAAAACUCCCUGUGCGUUACAAAGUGGCAGUAUUGGGUGGGGACUUCACGUUUGCACAGUCAUCACGGCAUCAUAAUCAUGCAGCAAAUUGCAGUUUUGAUUAAUUACGCUGUUCUCCUACGCCCGAGGUCUCUUGUCAAAAUCUUUGAACAUGGGCCCAGUGAUGAGAUUCAAAAGAGUGAGCAUUACCAGUGCUUUGACAUAGGCUGCUACAGCAGAAGUUGUUGCCCUACACGGUAUUGAAAGCUUUGAUGCGAUCUUGAAGUCACUAGAGACUGGAUGUGUGAUCAAUACUGAGGAGUUACGUGUCAUGAAACACCCUCUCCAGGUGGCGCUUGGUUUAGAGGACCUCCAGGUCUUCCAUAUAUCGUACCGUUUACUCCUGGUGGUUUUCCCAUGGGACCGUCUCCUUAUUAUCGUCCCCAGAUUUCAGCUACUGCCCUUGCCAACGCACGGCCAGUUCCCCACCAUGAGCUGGACCGAGAAGAUACCCCUGAAGAAUGAAGAUAUGUAUAGCCCACAUAUGCCCGAUGCUUACAUCUGUCCAGCCGGUUUUCCUGGUUAUGAAGGGUGAUCAGAUUUGGAUACCGGGUCAUUUGAAGGAAUCUCCAGAAUAACGUCUUCAACAAAUUCCGAGAACAACGAGCACAGGUUCAUGGAAGUGUAAUCCCAGACUUCAAGCCAGGAGAGACAAGUCAGAAGAUUGAUAAUGAACUGUGAUAGCCAAAAUGACCCUGGAGAGGAUGGUUUUGUCAUGACGAAGGCUUUACCGGGUUAUGAUUCACGCUCUGAGUCUCUAGACUCAUUCCGGGCUUCCUUUACACUGAGCCUAUUCGCAGUGCACCAACAAAGCAGCCUCAGUGACCUUCUUAGGUCCGCGCAUAUGUGCAUUCAGCUGCAUGGCCACCUUUGGGCCACAGUGCCCUUUUCCCAUUUCACCAUCUCCAAUUUUGAAAAAUAUUCUUUUAAAUCCCAUUCUUCAAAUAAUUUUCUAGAUUUAGUUUGUUUUAAAAUAAUUUCAAACUCCUUCCCUUUGAUUUCAAAAUAAUAAUUUCCAACCCCGUUUUGAAAUGAUUUUCCAAUUUCUGGGUUUUAAAUAAUUUCAAGUCAUCAAAUUUUCCAUCCUUAGGGUUUUUAGAUACCAACUUCCCAUUUUCAAUAAAAUUUGGUUGCCAUUUUCUUUCCGGCAAGCCACUUUUGCAUUUUCUUUAUUUUCAAAAUGUUUUUAAAAUAAGUAAGAAUUAAAUUCCGUAAUUCCAAGUGAUGGAAGUUAUGAAAUUGAUUCAUGCAAAAUAAACGGGCUUUGGUGGGGGCCCUACAUCAAAUAAAUUUGCUUUAAAAUAAAAAUGAAUUUUGAAUGAAAUAUCAUGCAUGCUAUUGGUGCUUCUUUAUCUGUUUUGGUGACAUGAGUGACAUACUUUAUGUUCAUUACUAUGCACUAAUCUCAUUUUGUGAUAGCACGUUGGUUUUAGGGUUACAUAACAGGGGUUCUAAAGGCGGUGAGCGAGCAGUACCUUGACUUCACUCUCAAAUUACUCUGCUGUUUCCUCUCUUACUUUAGCAUGCCGGAAGAACUUUGGGGAGAUGUGGAAGAUGAUCCUCCGUCUUUGGAGUCUUUGCCUAUUGACGAAUCACUUGACGAGCCGGAGGAUUCGAGCAUCCAGGUGGUAAGACCUCCUUACGAUUAUUUCUCAUGUUUUAUAUGAAUUUAUUCGAUCUACUUGCUUGCUGAGAAAGAGGUCGAAGGGAAUAACAGGAGAUCAAGUUUUAUCACAAACGCUUGCGAAUUUCGAGCCCUAUUAAUUGGAAUCAGCCGCUGAUCAUAUUCUAAUUAUUUUGUUUAUUUUGGGUGGAUUCUUUAUCCGCGUAAUAUAACCAUGAGAAAUAUGAAACUCUGAACUUUGGUGUUUCUGGAUUUUUUGCCCUUUUUUUUGUCAGCAACCAAACCCUAGAUUGAAGGUGUUUUUAUUUUAUUUUAUUUUUGUUUAUAUCUAUUUUUUAAAUUUUAUUCUGGGUUUUUUGGAGGGUGGGUUAUGGUAGGCGGGGGCGGCGGAAAGAAGGGUCGGUUGGUGUUGGUCGGAUGGUUUGGUUUUGCUCUUAAGGUUUUUAAAUUUUGAUUGUUGAUGCAUUUGUGCUUUAAGUAAAUUUUGCCCUUUUUUUGUCAGCAACCAAACCCUAGAUUGAAGGUGUUUUUAUUUUAUUUUAUUUUUGUUUAUAUCUAUUUUUAAAAUUUUAUUCUGGGUUUUUUGGAGGGUGGGUUAUGGUAGGCGGGGGCGGCGGAAAGAAGGGCGGGUUGGUGUUGGUCGGAUGGUUUGGUUUUGCUCUUAAGGUAAUGUAGGUCAUGACAAGCUAUUCGAGAUCUCUUCUCGAUGUUGUUCUCAUUCCCCCGUUGAAUGCCAGAUUCUGUUUGAUUGAUCNNNNNNNNNNNNNNNNNNNNNNNNNNNNNNNNNNNNNNNNNNNNNNNNNNNNNNNNNNNNNNNNNNNNNNNNNNNNNNNNNNNNNNNNNNNNNNNNNNNNUGUUUUUUGUUUUCAGUGUGAGUAAAUAAUCAAGUUAAGCUAUAGGUAAGCUUUGAUUAUAUUCUGAAGAUUUUUUUUGUGUAGUUUUUUUAAUCUGUAGAGAUUCUGUUGAUGGAUGGCUUGUGAGUGGUAACUAUAGUCCUGAUAAACCGGGGGCAUAUGACAUGGAUAUCAACUCAAAUUACAUCCCCUUCACUGAAGGGAGGGAGGGAACAUUAGAAACUUUACCUAUUAUGAUAUAUAUUUGGGAUUUUGUUGCUGUUGGGUUGAGGUUGUUUGAAGUUUGCAGGAGUGUUUAGCAAGCUACAACCUAGAUAAAAAAUGAAGUUGUUGAACUUAUAUUCACAGAUGAUGCUGUAUUGUGUGUGUGAAGUUUACAUACUACCGAGCAAAUAGCAUUGCAACUAUCUUUCUCUUUGGAUCAUGUAGGAGAGUCACCAGUAAUCAUUCUUGUUGAAGUUUGGAUGACAUUCCCUAUGAUCCUUAGUAUUAUGAUAUAUAUCCUUUUCCCCAAUUCUAGGAUGCAAUCUUCUCCUUUAAUGAAAAUUGGUUAUCGCUGCUGUUAGCCACCCCUGAACGGCAGUGUUACUUGAACGAAUAAUAUUUCACCAUUGUUCUGAUGCUUGAAGUACAUGCUAUUAAGAAUUUGUUCAUCAUUAUAUUUAUUUUGAUGCAGGAUGGAUUUAAGGAUGAUUCUUUGAGGAUAAUGAAGGAUAUUCAAAGGAGUGGUGCUCAAUGCCAGGUUUGUACCAAAAGUUCUUUGCUAUUGGAUUGUACUUGCAUAUUAGAAGUUGACAAAAAUCAUAGCUAGGAAGAUACAUCACAAGCUUGGUUUGAGGAUGUGUGAUGGAUGACUGCUUAACUUUGUAUAGCCAGGCUUCUGAAAUCAGGGUCUAAUUUUUUUUUAUCCUUCUUUCUUCCUUUUUUUUUUCCCUAAGAAUUAAAAAUGCAUUUCUUUAUUUUGGGGAAUGUUUUUUACAUCAAACUGAUGUCAAGACUUUUAGUUUCACCCUUAGUUACAUUCAACUGAGAAAAAAAAAAAAGAAGAAAAGACUAAGGUUCUCCUCAUUAAUGCGAUCUCACUUGCACAUGCAAGUUUUAAGUUCUCAUUUCUUGGAUGGUUUGGAUCUUUCUGAUCAAGUUCUUAGUUUCAUGUCAAAGAGUUAAAUCAUACUAUUGACUUCCUUUUUUUUGUUGUGUCUUGAAUUUCAUUAGGUGCUUCUGUUUUCUGCUACUUUCAAUGAUACAGUAAAAAAUUUUGUAACAAGGAUAGUCAAAGACUACAAUCAAAUGUUUGUAAAGAAAGAAGAACUAUCCUUGCAGUCUGUGAAGCAGUAUAAGGUGAAAUGCCCUGAUGAACUCUCCAAGAUUCUUGUGAUUAAAGACAAAAUUUUUGAGAUAGGACAGAAGCUGGGGCAAACAAUUAUUUUUGUCAGGACGAAGAAUAGUGCAGGAAUGUUACAUAAAGCACUUGUGGAUUUUGGUUACGAAGUUACUACCAUUCAAGGAGCUCUUAGACAAGAAGAUAGAGACAAGAUAAUCAAGGAGUUCAAGGAUGGAUUAACCCAAGUUCUCAUAUCGACUGAUCUCCUUGCCCGAGGUUUCGACCAGUCAAGGGUAAUUAAGUACUUCUAGUUUCUGUCUUUCUUUCUUUUUAAUUUUUUUUAUUCCCUUUACUGAUGAUGAAUUUCCAUGAUGCUAUUUGCUUCAAAUUUGUCUCUGAAGGUGAACUUGGUCGUCAAUUAUGAUCUGCCGCUAAAAUAUGGGACACAGGCAGAGCCUGACUAUGAGGUGUACUUGCAUAGAAUUGGCAGGGCAGGACGUUUUGGCCGCAAGGGUAUGUUCUUGAUCCCAUGCUUCUGCUGUUGUUACUUUAUGCUUGAUAUAAUACUUCCUCCAUUGAAAUGUAAUUAUUAUGCCUGCUUGUAUGUUGUUGAUCCCAUGAUUCCUUUUUGUUUCAAAUAUGGGAAAUCAAUAAUGUAGUUUGAUUCUCCUGUUGCCAAUCAUUUCAAGCUCAGAUUCUAAAUUGAUGUAUCCCCACCCAAAAAAAAGAAAAAAAAGUAGAGUAUUCUAACGGAUUUGUUUUACAUGAUUCUACAGGAGCUGUUUUUAAUUUGCUGUGCAGUGACAAGGACAACAUCCUGAUCUCAAAAAUUGAAAAUCAUUUUGGGGUUCAGAUUGCAGAGGUAAGGUCUCCUUUAUGAUUGAUUUGGUUGAGCAUUUAUUUAUAUAGGAUAAUAGAAAAAUUUGGAAAAGAUUUUGGAAAUCAUCCUGAGUACUACAUGGGUUUACUUUUUGAGCAAAAAUUAGAAGAAAGUAUCAAAAAGAUUUUAAGUCUUAUUCCAACAACAUGGAUCACAGAUUCCUUCGUGGCAAAAUGAUGAUGACUUUGAGGCGGCAAUGAAAGAUGCUGGACUUUGUUAGUGGAUAGAGCCAAGUGGAUUAUGGAUAUUCCAGUUUCAGAAGAGAGUUGAUUUUUCAAAGAGGGACAGAGAGACAGAUGAUAGUCAUCUAAGGACCUUGCCUGGAAGGAGAUGAUACUUUCCUAAGCAAGACAUACAUUCAAGAAAGACUUUUUGGAAGAUGUAUCUUUUAUAAUUUUCUUGUUAUUUCAGUUGGGUUUUUGAUGCAACUUCCUCUCCCUUUCUCUCCCUAUCUCGUCACCUUCAUCUCCAUCACCGGUCUAUGAUUCUCGGAAAUUAUUUAACAAAUGUAGUUGUUAAUGGGAGAAUUUGGGGCUUUGGUCUUCUGGUCUUGUUAGCAGCUGGCUUUGUGUUUGUGAGCGGUUGUGUAAUGGAAUUUUCCGAUUUAUGUUUUGCCUCACUUCCUUCUCCAGAUGCAGAGAAGUAAAAUAAUUGAGCGGGUGGUUUUUCAGUUAUGCAAUUUGUCCGUUUCUUUGUGUCUUUCGUGUCCUUGAAGUAGGUUCUUUCAAACUUCCAGUUUAAUCCUUUGUGGAACAUUGUAUGAGACCCAUCACUUUGCAGUCGACUGUAUACUCUGUAUUACAUUCGAAAUUAAAACUUAAACAAGAUUGUUUCAUUUGAUGAUGAUUACCAAAGGAGAUAAGACGGGAUCAGAAAGGGACGGUAGGGACCUAUUGGUUCCAUGUCUUUCACCCUUCCCUUAACCAACUAACCAAGUGAGUUAGAGCACGGGGAAUCCGGCUUCCUUCCCUUAACCAACCAAGUGAGUUAGAGCGAGGGGAAAGAGUUAUUGGACUUCAGGAAUUCUUAAACCAAUAAAAGGUAACUUACCCACCUUCUCCGGGCGUGCCCAGGGUUGGGCUAGUGGUCCUUCUGCCGGUUGAGGGGCGUCAUGUAGCCUACUGUGGGCCGAUUUCUCAGCCUCGCCCACCGACCUGCUACGAAGGUGGAGUAGGAAGUGGCCGAUACGCCCCGACGGAAGGUCUCUGAACUUGUCAGUGUCGGCCUCCUCCCUUUGUCGACCAAUCACUCGGUAGGGACAUGCAGCCAGCACCUGGCGUCCCUCUUCUGCCUUUCAUGCGGAGGUACGCAGCUAUGCUGUCUCUCUUUUGUCACUCGGGGGCGUCAGGCAUGGUUACUUUCCGGGCGAACGUGCUCUAUGGCCAUGUCCGGGGUGUGUGACGACAGUCUGCCCAGAUUAGCCGUUUUGGAUCCCCUUUGACCCAGGGUUAAGAAAAUGGUAAAAGAAAAAACAAGGUAAAAUUGGCUUUUAUUUGAAAAAGAAAGAUGGAGUUAAAAGAUAAAUUAGUUGGAUGGUGAUGAGAAUGAUAAGCUAUUCAUAUUUAGAACAUCACUGUAAUGAGAAAUGUAAUGCUAUGCUGAUUCAGGAACGAAAAAUAUGUUAUCCAUUCCAUUUUUUUUUUUUUUUAUAAAAUAUAAAAGAUAUUCUUAUAAUAUUUGAUUUUUUUAAAUAUGAAAUCUUUUUUAUAUUUAGUGUUACUUAGAUAUCUUUUCAAAAUUUAUAUUUUAAUAGGGUUAAUUUUAUUGGUAGCUUUUAAGGCUUGGUGUAACUACACCCAUCAUUAUUGGUUUCAAAUUUUAUUAUUAAUAUUUUUAUAAAUUUAUUCUGGUUAUAAAAUUUAUUUUUAGGGGAUUUUAGGUAAAAAUAAUAUAGAUAAAAGUGUUAAAUUUUUUUCUAAAAAUUAAAAUUUAUUCUUCAAAAAAUAAAAAUUAUAUGUGAAAUACUAAUAUAAAAGUAAUAAAUGACGAAAUUUGAAAUUAGUAGUGGUAUAAUGUAUUUACAUUAAAUCUCAAGGGUUCUCAAUGAAAAUAAUCAUAUUUUAAUACAUAAUUAUUUAUUUAUUUUUAUUUAUAUUGUUAAUAAGUAAAAUAUUUAAAAUUUUAUAGAUGAAAAAAAUUAUUAUAUUAUAGUGUCAAUCUUUUGCUUAAAUAGGUAAUAGUAUUAUAUUGGGGUUAUAUAUAUAUUUUUUUCUUUUUUAAGCUCAAAAGCAAGUAAUAUGAAAGAAAGAAAGAACAUGGAGAAAUUAAUUGAAGGAAACCUACGUCUCCAUACACCUAUUUGUAAAAAGCCAUAAAGUAAUAACUCAAAAUUUAUAAAAUCCAAAUUUUAUAUAUUUAUCCAAAAAUAGUUAAGAUUUUGUAAAAAACUAUUAUUGAAUAUAUUAAACUUGAAUUAUUUUUAAAUGGUUCUUAUUAACGUGUGAAAACAUAUUCUUCUCAUAAACUCUUAAAAAUGAAAUAUUUAUAUUUUUUUUCUCGUAUACUUACGAGAACAAAAUAUUUAUAUUUUAUAUCUUAAUGAAAGUUUAUUAUAUAAAAACACACAUAUCUUGUUUUAUCUUUUGUUAAUUAUAUAAAAUAAAAGGUUAUUUGAUGAAAAUAGGUUUUGAAAACCCAAUUUUUAAAAUUUGAUUUCCUAUCAUUUUUUGGUCUUAUUUGAAUAAAAAUACCAUAAUUAUUCUCUUAUACUAAUAACCCUCCCAUUAUUUCAUCCUUUUAAAUAAAUAUUUCUAAAAUACCUAUAUGCUUGGCAUGCCAAAUAAAACGGACUAAAACUCGUUUAAACUUAUAGUUUAUAAGAUUUUGGGUUUCUAUAAUUUUAUCUUAAUUGGUAUAUUUAUUUUAUUUUAGAUAUAUGAUUGUACAGCGAAAUAAAUAAAUUAAAUGACUAAGCAUAUGAAUGAAAUUUAUUUUUUGAACUAAAAAUUAUCCUCCUAUUUAUAAAAUUGAUAUUUAAUCGAUUUAUUCUUUUUCUAUUAAUAAAAACUAUUAUUUAGAUAAUAAAUAAUUAUAAAAUUGAUCAAGAAAAUGGAGGAGGAGAAGCCGUGUAUUCAUCUGCAACAUAUGAAAUUCAAUCCUCUUUAAAAUAAAAUUUCAAGUAAAAGUCAUGAUAUUGUCCAACAGAAAGUCUAAACUCCAUCCUUUUAACCUAAUCAUCAUGCAAAAAGUCUAAACUGCAAUCAACAUCACAAUUCCAUGUCAUCCAGAUCAGGCAAUGGAAACCUAAGAAUAGCAGCAAUCCCAGUUAACUGACCUAACUGCUCUCCCAUUACAUGAUUGUGUGAAUAUACCAAGGCCUUCCCUCCCGCCUUCUUUACCGACUUAACUAAAUCCGUGUACUUGUGCCUACUUCCAUGGUUUGCACUCCGGUAAAGUUCAUCACUUAUAAACAGGGUGUCGAUUGCCAUCAAUUCAUUUGCCUUCUCCACACUCUUUGAUCCAUAACACGCCCUACUUGAAUCGUUGCUCAACAUGUCGCACAAAUCCUUCCAUGCUGUUAUCUCCACUGCCCCGUUUUUGCCCCGAAUCAAUUUCAUUACCUCGGGCUCUUGCAACACCGCUUUCAAAGUUGCUUUUCCCGAAGUAUUCACCACUACCACACGUUCCUUAUUUUCUUCUAUUUGCUGCAGCUUCUGCCUUCGUGAUUCUGCUAGCAAGUAUUGCCGAAACUCCGUCCCAACAGGACUUGCUAUUAUGACCAAGCUUACGAAGUUGAAAUUUACGUGCUUUACAAAUUCUGUUAAAAUGUUUUCAAAAAACUUGUUUGACUUUGACUGAGAUUUCGAUUUUGCAGCUCUAUUGGUUUUAGAUGGGGCUUCAAUGUUGGCACAAAGUGUAGUGGCUAUUUUCCCUAUCGAGUACAACUCCGCGGAUACGUCUUGUAUCAACAAGACUGCGAGGUCUGCUUUAGCAGCAUUGCCGUAGGAGCGUAGUUCCUCGAUUGCAUCAGAAUCCCAAACUUUCUUCUUCAGGUCAAACGGUUUAUUCCUCUCAAUCUCUAUGGUGUGGAAGGCACCGGCGUCUACGUGUUCAUUGUGCACCAAGUUCCUGCCGGCGACGCGGAUUACUGAGCCUACUUUAUCAUAAUCGAUGGCGGUGAUUUUGAUUUCAAGUGUGAGUCUAACUCUGCCAAAGGCGGUUUUGCGGGUUGUAUCGGCAACGAUGACAUCGCCCUUAGAAAUCAAAUUGUAGAGGAGCCACAUGUCAUCUGGUUCUUCAGGAACGAUAUUGAUGAUUCCACUGCUAUUAGGAAGGAUUUUUUCUUCUUCUACCAGCUUCAUCCUUUUCAGAGAAAGUAUGGACUGUGAACAACAGAAAUUAUAAGCGAAAAGAAUAAAUAACACACAAAACAUAAAAGAUUUUACAUGAAAAACCAUUCACAAAGUCUUCCAAAGACUUUACGGAUAUAAAAAAUACAAGUUAGAGAUCAAAAAAUUAUAAUUCAUUUACAAGAGGUUUAUAAAUUUACCUUCUACUUCUUCAAACUAACACUUAAAGUACUACUGUGCUCCUUAGUCGACUUCUUAACAUUUGGAGGGGAUGUGAAUCUUUCUUAGGAGCCAACCAAAGCAAAACAAUUACGAACUUUUUUGAGAGUUUUGGGUUAAGUAUAAAGGAUAAUAGCUCAAUGCUGAUGCAUAAGUUUUGAAGAGAUAUACAUAUAUAUAUAAAAAGAGAAAACCUAAUAAACUUUGAAUCAAAUUAGAAAUCAUAUCCGACUAAAAAACAAUUUAAAAAUUUUAAAAAGAUUUGAAAAAAUUAAGUUUUGAAGAGAACUCUCCUAAUAACACACAUAUACAUAUAUAUAUAUAUAUAUACAUAUAUAUAUAUAUAUAUAUAUAUAAAAAGAGAAAACCUAAUAAACUUUGAAUCAAAUUAGAAAUCAUAUCCGACUAAAAAACAAUUUAAAAAUUUAAAAAAGAUUUGAAAAAAUUAUCUUUUCUAAAUUCUCAAUUUGAUUCAUUUUCUAAAUUAAUUUUAUUAUUUGAAAAGCUUUUUAUUUUUAAAUUCUCAAUUUAUUUAUUUUUUUCAAAUUGAUUCCUAAUUUUCAUAAUUCCACUUUUUGGGAUGUUUGGUAGAUGGGAAUAGGGAGUGAGAAUAGACAUCUCAUUCAUUUUCUUCCUUAUUCCUAUGUUAAUAACCUAAAUUUAUUAUUUUAUCCUCUUAUCUCAUUCUUCAAACCCGAUAUUUAUCUUCUGAUUUAAAAAAAGAAUAUUUAAAAUUUUUUAAGGUUACGGAUUUUAUCGGAUAUGAUACUUGUUGAAAAUUAGAAUGAAAUUUAAAUUCUUUUAUUUGGAAAUAAGAAAAACAUUUGCUAACUUUGAGAAUUUAAAUAUUAUAAUAUAUAUAUAUUUAUUUAUUUAUUUAUUUAUUUAUUUUGGUAAAAUAUAAUUUUAUAACUACUUAAGCAUGAUAAAUUAUUCAAAUUUUUAAUAAAAAUAAUAAUUGAAUAUUUGUAUAUUAGGGUUAUAUGAUUUUUUAUGGUUAAUUUUUUAUUUAUUGAGUAUAUAUAUAUUUUUAAAUUAUAUGGAAUGAUAUUAUUAUAAUUUUUUUUUUCAUUUCCAUUCCUAUUAUUAUUAAAUAUUGGAAUUGAAACAAAUAAUCAUUCCAAUCUUACAUUUCUAAGUUCAUCCAAAUACUAGAAAUGAAAUCAUCAAAUUCAUUUCUAUCCACUAAGAAAUAUAAAUAAAAAUAAAAUAUUCAUUUUCAUUUAUUAUAAAUUUAUUUAUUUUUAUUCAUUAUCCUCGUUAAUUCAAUCAUAUUUACCUAUUUAAUUCAAGUUGCCGGAGGAAAGUAAUCUAAAACUAGCAUGAUAGAAUAAAAUUUUUAACUUAAUCUCAAUAGCCUACUUCACUAGCACUCUUUUAUUUCCUUUUAAUCCAAAUUUGAUUUUCAUUUGGUUUAUAUUUUUUUAAAACAUUAAGUUUGUUUAUUUCUUGUUACGUUAUUUAUUUAUUUUUUAAAUAGCUUUUAUUUAUAAUAUUUUAUUUUUAAUUAUUCUUUCUAUGAUAUAAUUAUUUUUUAAAAUAAAAAUUUUAAAAUAAUUUAUUAAAAUGUAUUAUCAAAAAUUUUUUGUUUUAAUAAAUUAUUUGUUAAGAACAAAAAAUAAUUUAAAAAUAAAUUAUUUUUUCGUUUUUAAAACCGCCUCUCGGUCUUCCAAUGCGUUAAAAAAUGGUUGAUAUUAAGUGUAAUUUUUUUAAUAAUAUUUUUUAUAUUUUAUAAUUUUAUAAAUUAUAAAUUUAAAAUUAAGAACAGUAAUCAUAUCCCAUCAUAUUUGGAAUAUUGAAAAAAAAAAAAUAGCUGAGAAGGUGAGUAGAAAGUUAUUUCCUUUUCAUUGUUAAAAUUGAGAAAUUGAAAUUAAUUUGAGUUGGGAGCCAAAAACAAUUUCUUCCCCCAAUAACAUCUCAUCCACAAUUGACAGAUUGACACAUAUUAAAUAAAGUUGGUAGGUGCACAAAAUUAAUUCAGCCAAUCAACUUCAUCUCUCAACAGCUCGUAAUAUGUCCACGUCUGUAUAUAUAUGGUCUAUAGGUAUAUAUGAUUUGGUAAGGUGGUUUGCACGUAGCAAGUAGUGCUCUUCCACCUCUGUGUACCGUAUACGUGGCCCCGACACUUUGUCAUUCGCUUCUUAUAUAUCUAUGUUCAAGGGGGCUGUGCCGCUGUGGUCAAAUACUUUACCGGUUGCUUACCAUUUGUAUGCGUGUCUGAGAGAGAGAUGGCGGCGGCUGCGGUGGUCAUGAUGAUUGCAACAUCACUACUACUGAUUGGGAUUGGGAGCGUCAAUGUAGGUGAGGCUUGGGAGGAAGCCAAUGUGAUCCAUGUGGGUGGGAAAGUGUUGUGCCAAGACUGCACCAAGGGCUGGAAUGAAUGGGUUAAUGGCUCCAACCCCAUUAAAGGUACUGAUUCGUCUCUCUCAUUGCUCGUAAGCUGCCUAUGAUUAGUGGUGGUAAUGGCGUAAUGUGGUUAAUUUGAUUGGAUUACAGGUUCUAGGGUAUCUGUUACGUGCAUGGAUGAUAGGAGGAGGGUGAUGUACUAUGGAAGUGAUGAGACUGACGAGGCGGGAAAAUACUAGCUGAUUGUGGACAAGUACGUUAAUGGGAAGGAAGUGAAAGCCACGGGAUGUUGGGUGAGGCUGGUGUCUUCCUCAGAUCCUACUUGCAACAUUCCCACUGACUUUGCCGGUGGCCGCUCCGGGGUGAAGCUCCAGCGACCUACAUGGAUUUAUCGGGAUCAAACCAAAUACACUGUGGAUCCAUUCUACUAUACAACUCCCCUGUGCGAUGAACCCGAUGAAGAGGAAAGCAAUUACUAAUAGUUUCAAUUUCUGCAUCUGAAUUUUUGUUUUCAUAUUUUAUUUGGUAUUGUAAUUGUCAAUCAUCCACAUGUUGGAAUUAUAAUUCAAAAUCUCUUCAAAUUUAACAAAUUUGAUGGACUUGUACCAAUAUUAUAAAUAAAUAUUUAAUUAAAAGGAUUGGAUAAUAUUUUAAUGUAUUGAAAAAUUAUCUAUAAAAUCUUAUUUUGAAAUUUUUAUUUAAAAAAUGUUUGAUGUGAGAUGGAAAUUAAAAAAAUUAUUAAAAGAUAAUUUUGCAUGAAAGAGAUUAUAUUUGAUGUUUUUAGAGAUAACGGAAAUUUUUAAAAAUUUAUAUUUUCCACCUACCAACGGCUUUCAGUUGAAUCCAAGCCCAUUCCCUAUAGGCUUUAUGGCAGGUUUUGGACCAAUAGGCGAAUUUUACUCCCUACUUUUGAAUUGACGGAAUCCGUGAUUCAAUACCUGCCACGUGGAACACGGUAGAGUUGGCGAUGAAGGCCAUGGCUAUGACUCAUAAACCGUGAGAGCUCUGCCCAUGCCCAACAGGGGUCUUGCCGUAGCCAGUUGGGUUGCGAGUGAGAAGGAUGGCCUCAUCGCAUCUGAUUCGGAAAUCAAUGCUGAACCAGGGUCAUCUACUGUACAAAACCAGGUGUGCCUCAUUCUCAUCGGCUCCCAAGCCGGAGAAGAAAGCUCCACAUCAUCUUUCCGCCGUCAUCGACGCUGUCAAGGAACGGAAACUCCCUCCAGAACUCCGGGGCCAGCGCAGCUCCCUUAGGUUCGAUAUCGAUUUCUAUUCUCCCUUUUUUUGGUUGCUCGGAAAAUUGAGAAACCCGAAUGAGCAAAACAAAUCUGAAUCAUAUAGUUUGAAUUGGUUUUUAUUUCUGAAAAUUGAGAAAAUCGAAUGGGCAAAAUCGAAUCGAGUGAGAGAAAUAGUUGUGUUAGUCUUUUAGAGGCCAUAUUUUGGUUGAUUUCUAGCAAUGAAAAAUAAAAUAAACUCCAAAACUUCGAUUUUUCUGUACAAUUUCUUCAGGAAAGAAACGGAGCGUUAGGGUUUCUCAUUUAUUUGGGUAUUGAAUUGCUGUUUAACAAUAUAUUGAAGGCCGUUUACAAGAAAAAAUCGAGUUGAUACAUGAAUCAUGAAUGUUUAUGAUUUGGACAGAUCAGAAACUGACAUCAUCAACAUUGCGGAGCAAAGAAUAUGGCAAUCCAUGAAAGAAGGGCAGUUCGAGAACUUACCAGGAAAAGGAAAACCUCUGGACCUGAGCGACAAUCCUCAUGCAGACCCCGCUGAAGAUACCUUGUAUAGGAUUCUCUCUAAGAAUGGAUGUGCCCCUGAAUGGGUUGAACUCAAUAAAGAGAUACGGACGCAAGUUAAUGGAUGGCGGUCGGCAUUGAAGAAAGCAUGGGCAAAUAGAUGCAAUCAAAGCGACUCCCAAUGGAUUGAGUCUUGUAAGGCUUUGAAACUGCAAAUGUCUGAUAUAAACAACAAGGUGAACCAUUCAAGUUCCAUUGCGUGAAUUGUGACCUCGUCAUCCCAAUUCAAAUACGUGUUAGAUGAUCUAAUGGAGGUUACAAACUGCAGGUUUUUCGAUAUAAUCUCAUUGUUCCCUUCGGCCGCCAGAUGUUCGGACUCAAGUGGGAGAAAGAAGUAGCUCGCCUAGAAGAACAAUGAAACUCCCUCAGACACAUGAUAUGAGAAGCAAUGCUAAUACAUUAGUCGUCCAUUUUUAUUUUUUUUUAAUAUUUUGGUAAUCUUGUAUCAAAUGUUGAUUUAUAGGACCUAAUACACACAUGCUUGCUAUAAAGUAUAAACUAAACCUUUCCCAUGCUGCAUAUCUUCUCCUAUGCAGCAAUAUUGGAAUAAAUCCUUAAGAACAUUAAGGAGUACAACUAUGAAGUUUUUUGCCUUUAUUUUAUUUUAUCUAUUUUUUAAUUUACUCAACUUCUUUUUCCUUUGUAAACAGUGUUCAAGACUAACUCCUUUCUUAGAAACAAUGCAUGUCCCUUCUAAUUUUGUCAGCCAUCAAGCUGCUUAGGGUUCUAAGAGAAAAAGAGAGGGAGAAAAAAAGGAAUAAUUUUAUCAGCCAUCAAGAUUUUUUAGGGUUCUAAGAGAGAGAGAGAGAGAGAGAGAGAGAGAGAGAGGAAAACACCAGACAUCCAUCUGGUGCGCGAGGCAUAUGGCUUGGAAAUCAGUAGUUUGGCUCCAGCUUUAAAUGUGUGGCGUUAUUCAUGUCAAGGGGCAAAUUGCACAUGUAGCAUAUUUUGGAGAAAAGCUGAAAAAAUUAUCAAAACCAGAAUACAAGGCACGAUAAGACAAGACAAACAAUACACAUGAGAGUUGUAAUUUCAACAAAUUAUACUGUUUUGAGACCUAUGGAAUAAAGAAGCAAUCCUUCACAGUAUACAUCUUAUUAAGCAGAGCUGAGCUAUCAUCCGGUUGAAGAUGUCUUGGCUGCCAGAUGCGUGAGCGCUCGCCUGUGGUAAGUAGUUCGGAGCCUCUUGUAUUUCUGAACAAAAGCCCCAAGAUCCAUCUCUCUAUCAAGAAGCUGCCUAUGCAGAGUUUCAGAUUCCUCCUCUGUUUUGUUCAUAGUUUCUGCGAACCACAGAUAUUGUUCAGGUCAUCAUCAGAGUCAUGUUAUUUUCAUUAUUAUAGCAUCAUUGACAUUAUCACAAUGGUGAUUGUUACCAAUUUCAUAAUCACAACUAUAAUUAUUACCUUGAAGCCUGUGGAGCAAGCAUGCAGGGGAGUAGAACUUUAAGAUCUCUUCUUUCUGUCUCUCCAGUUCAUUUAAUUUCUCCUGUGCAGCAGCUAACUCUGUUGUCCGGAUUAUUCUGCACUGUGGCCAUGAAAACACAGAAAGGAAAUGUCUAACCAACAGCAUUCCAAUUUUAAGCUUAGUAAAAAAAGGGUUCAAAUCCUUACCUGAUUUCUCAGUUCCACUAUCUGUGGUUCCUUCUCCAAGUUCUCUCCUGGUUAGUAAAGAAAACACCACCAUACCAUAGGUGAAUCAACUACAUAUUAGAUAAACCAUAAUAUAACAACAAAAAGGUAAGCCAAGAACUCACUCGCAAGUUGCAGAGUUUCCUUCCGAAGUUCAUCUCUUAGCUGAUGAUAAUUAUACAAAUGACAGCAAAAGGAAACAGUUAGAAACAGUAGCUGAACUUAAACUUGAGAAAUAAAGCGAGCCCAUAUUUCAAAAGAAGAUCAUUUGUGCACAUUAAGUAGUCCUACAGUCUUGCAUACAAUCAGGAUAGUCAUGCAAGCAAUCACAUCAUCAUAAAAUAAUAAAUUUAUUUAUUUUUAUCAUAAAAUAAUAAAUUUAUAACCAUGUAUCUUUUUUCCUUAUAUAAAAAAUGGGCAUGUGGAUGCAUACUACAGUAAGAACUAAGCUCCAUUGGUGAUCUAGAGAAUUUUUUCUAAUGUAUAAGUCCAUGGAAUGUACAACCUGGGUGAUUAUACCAUAAUUGGAGUGUGUAUAACCUAUGACCAUCCCCUGCACGAUAUUAUUGUGCCUUGGUUUAUUACAUAAAUAUCUGAAAAUAUUAAAUACUCCAAAGGAGAAAACAGAUUGAUAAUGGUCACACACAUAUAUUAUAUUAAUAAACUAACAUUUAACAACAAAUAAGUUUCCUCCCAAAUACCAGGUUUUUUUUUCCCAUAUGAGGCAAUGAUACUAAAAUAUAAAACAGAACCUAACUAAAGACUGAUUAGAGAAAUGUCAAUGGAUAACAAGGCCGCAAUAUUUAUUACUGAUUUCCCUUGGCCACUUAAUUGGGUAACUGUAGAUCUUCAAAAUUUACUAGCUGAGUACAGUCAUAAUAAUUAUGCUUGCAUCAUAAUUUUGUUGGGUUCCUUUUUCUUUUCUGUCUCCAACGGUUUCCACAUCUUACAUUUCCUUCUAAAGGGCUAUGAAUCUUAAAGCAUAAGGAGCUUGAAUGUUUCUAUUAUUUGUUUCUGAUAAAUUGUGAUUCAUCUUUAUCUAAGUACAGAGCUUUGAUGCAAUGAAAAUUUUAUUUAAAACACAAAACCAAGAAUCUUAGAAAGAAGCCCAAAUGAAGAGAAAAAAUGAAAAUGAAAAGAUGGACAUGAGUAUAUAUAUUAAUCAAACCAGCUAGUGAGCUGGUACUCCCUUAUAAGAAAACUACACUGGCAAAAAACAACUCAGAAGAAAGUGUCAUUCAUCACCAUGGUAUCACCAUUUGUAACCUACAGGUAUGACCUAUCUUCCCUUCAGAGGAAAUUCAGGAUUCAGCCCUUGUGCAAGUGGGAGAGCAGGAGCUCCCUCAUACAUAGACCUUGGGGCUCUCAUCAAAGGCAAGCAUUGUGUGUCUAAAGCAAUUAUCCAGUCCAGAUAUAACCUUAAUUUUUAAGAGGAGGGUUAUAGAGAGUUUGGUGGCAACAAACCAUGUAAGCUGAGUUGUAUAGAAAGCAAGGUGGUUUGCAAGAAUUCUAAAGUAAUAAGAUUAGGUGAAUGUAGAUGGCAGAAAACAACAUUCCAAACUUACAUUGUUUUGAAUUUUAACUUGAUCAAGUGAAAGUAACAAUUGGUUGUAUGCAUCCUUGUCAGAUAAAAGCUUUCGUAACUCAUCGAUGCUAAAAGAAUUGAAUAAAAUAAGAGAGUUGUCAGCAACUGUUAAAGAGCAUAAAAAAUCUAUGUUAACUUGAUAAUAAUUCUUCCUACUCCUAAAGCUAGUUAAAUGAAUGCUAUUCAGUAUAAUGCGGUAAUGAACUCAAUGCAAGUAUGACAAAACAUAAUAAAUAAGAAAGAUAGAGCAUAAAAAUAUUUUUUGGAAGCAAGGUGAUUUUCUCACCACUUUCUAAAUCUAAGAAUAAUGACAUCAAGGUUUGAAAAUUUUUAUGAUCAAUUCUCAAUGUUGCAUCCUCCCUCCAUAAUGUAUGCCAAAUACUGGGAAAACAAAGCAGCCACCCAUGAGCCAUGACUGACACGCACACCAUUAGAUGGGUAGGGAAACCUACACUGCUGAUUAUGUAUUUGAAACUGAUGUAAUCCUCCACAAUUUCUCUAGAUCAGGAAACGGAUACACAGAAUAUGUGAAAGGCCUCAUUUUAGUAGGGAAUAUGCUUUUGGCCACCUUACCCAAUUGCCCCAUUUUACAGAUGUAUCAUAAAAAUGUAAUCAAGUUUUGAAAAGAAAAAGCAUGAAGAGGAAAAAUAAAAUGUCUUCAAUACCAUAUUUCAAUAACAAAAUGGAGUCCAACCCCGGUAUUUUACCUCUUAUCCUUUAACAGAACAAUCAUGCCAGCAGCUUCAGCAGGAGAAACAUGUGAUGGAGACUGGGGUCGAUCAGAAGGCCUUUGCAGACUGAAGCUACUAGAAGUGCUACUACUUGGUGUUGAAGGGCGUGAGGAACUUGGAGAGGUAACUACUGACGGAGGAUACCAAGACUGUCCAGAAAUAUCCUGUGGCCGUGGCUGAGGUUGUUGCUCUUGUGAUCCCCUGAUAAGUGAAGACUGUUAGUAUAUUGGUCCAGAAACAAACUGAAAUAGUGCAAUGGAUAUGGUACGAAAACAAAUAUCAUCAAGCUUAUUGAUCUGCCUUUAUAAAUUCACUUGGUUACAAAAGUAUACAUAGUCAACAUGGCAUCACCUAGGCAUACAAGAUUAAAUAAACAAAUGCUAAAAGAUGAGUACUUGCUAAUAAGUUACACUGGGAGCAGUAUAUUUGUCUUUAUAAGAAAGAAAAGCAUUCAUUACAGAGGAGAAGAACAAUUCCCCUGAAUAUUGGUUGAUUUUGUAAAAAAAUAUGCAGUGUUUUUGUGAGAGAUGGCUUCAAUAAGAAGAGGCGAGGCAAAGUCAAGUCUAUUUCAUAUUGCAAAGAUUGAACAAAUGAUCAAUUAUAUUAAGCCAAUUAAGAUGUAGCAAAUGCAAGCAAAAGAAGUUCUUUCUAACAUGAGAAGCAAAGAUGCAAAGAGACUAGUAAUUAUCACCACCACCAAGAUGUUAAAAUUUUUUCUAUCAAGUAAACCUUUUCUUAAAAAAAAAUGUCAGCUGUGAUUAUACCAUUAUCUAAAGUUUUAAUAUGAAGUGCAGGUUAGAAUAUGUCAACUUAAGGACAAGGACCACUAGCCCAGUUAUUAUAAUCUGUAGUUUCUCAUUAUUUUAGAUACCAGCCUUGUGUAGUACCAAACUUUCCCCUUUCUUAAAUCAUGGUCCAUUUUAGAACUAAAUUUUGAUUACCGGUAAUACUCAUCAACUCACCAAUCAUGCUCUUGUAACUUAUUCUUAUGCAACUAUGAGUGAUUAUCACCCAGUGGAUUACCAAAGAGCUAACAAUUAGUAAACAAAUGUCAAUUUUGAGUCCAACCACAAAAUGUUUUCAGGGCCUAAUUCCAAAAUUUAUAGAGUAUAUACAGCAUCCAAAAUAAAAAAUUUCUACAUGUGAACAAGAGCAAAUAAGGAUGAGCAAAGACGAAAGUAGGUUCAUUAAACGCUAUUCCAGAUUCAAUACCCGGAAGCACGAAGUUUAUCAUCGAUACAUCGAUCGAUUUCGCUAAUAAGAAAAUAGAAAGCCCUAAAAUUCAAAAUUGCAUCCGGAUUCAAGAAAUGAAGAAAGAAUUAAAGGCUAUGUGACUAAUAAAACCCUAAAUCGCGCAAGGAUUAAAAUAGAUAGAAAGAGGAAUGGAGAUAGCAAUACCAGAAAGACUUGAACAUGGCGAAGAGAAUCGGUGGAUCGUGUUAUUAGUCAACGAUAAGAAAAAAUCCAAACCCAAGAGAAAGGCCUCUGUUGAAAAGAGAAGCGAGGAGAAACGCAAGGCAAUAAGAAGAUCGCCUCCGUCUCUCUCUUUCUGGAAAUUAUUUUGGUUCGUCUACGAGUCUCCGUCUCCGGUUUUGUUAGUUUUUCAACAAGAGGGCAAGGCCGAUGGUUGCAUCAUCGCCUCGUGUGGGACCCGUGGCGUGUUACUAUUGGUGAAAGUCCGCCCAAGGAAGCAGCUAAGCAAUGGGGGAGAACUUGCUUUUGUUUCCACCCCUUCGUUGUUAAUCGGUGCAAGUUUUCUUUAAUAUAAGAUAUGAUUUUAUUUCCCUUAAUGGAAUUACUCCCGUUGUAAGUCAAUUUCAGAACAUAUUAUAUACUUUAAUUAUAAAUUUUUUAACAUUUUGUCUUCCAAAGCUUAGCCGACAUAAAAUCCAUUUCUAUCCUGACAUAAACUAACUAGAAAACUUUCUAAUAUUAAUCAUAAAUUAAACUUAGAUGAUGCUAAGGUAACGUCCGUCAUUUGAAGAUUUCCAUCCUUGCUAUAAAUCUACUAACUUUUACGAGUUUUGAGCAAAAAUAAUGUAUUGGGAAAAAAAAAAUUCACAAAUUAAGGUUUGUUUGAUAACUGUUUUCGAAAAUAGUUAGAGAAAUAAUUUUUGAAAACCGUUUUUGAAAACUAUUUUGAUAUUUUGUAAAAUAAAAGUCUAUUUGAGAAUUUAAAAUAUUUUAAACCUAUUUUUAAAUAUGUUUUAAAAAUAAUUUUUAUAUCUAAUCAUUUUACACAUUUGUAUAAUUAUUUUCUAAAAUAACUCUUAAAAUACAAAUAAAAAUAAUUAAAAGAUAUUAUUAAAAAACGACUCGUUUUAAAGGGACUUGUACGACUUUGAAACACAUCUAUUUAAUUAAGAGGAGCUUAUAUUUAUAUAACGAUAUGAAUUUUCCUUUAUUUAAUGUGGGACAUCACAUUCCUCAUGCAGACAUAACGUUUUUAUUAUAUCCCAUGAGAUUAUGAGAUUAAAUAGAUAAAUACCUUUUAUGAGACUAAACAAAAUUUUCACAAUAAGAUUUUUUUUUAAAUUUUUUGUUGUGAAGAAUAGAAUUUUUUUUUUUUGUGAAAACGGUUGCCAAAUAUGUCCUAAACCUUCUAUCAAAAUAAUUCCCAAUCUAACGUGUCUCAACCACUUCCACAUGCGGGUUUUUUUUUUUAUUUUUUUCGUCACAAAUUAAAUAACUAUGGUUUUGAAUGAUGAUUAGCCGUUUUCUUCUCUAAUCCUGUCAUCGGCGGUCUCCAUGGUCCAAAUAAUAAACUGAAGUUGUUUGGAAUAUAUCAAUCUUCAGUACAUAUUAUGGGUAAUUUGAUUGUGGAUUGGCUUUUGUUUGAACAUUUAUCUUAUUUAUUCAUAAAAAAAAAGGAAAAAAUUGAAAAGAGAGGAAAAGAAAUUAGUUGUUGACAAGAAACCACGAGGGUUAACCAAUCUUGAAACUACCUGCUCUGAAUCCCAUUGGAUGAAUUUCAGUAAGAGGCUAUACAGGGACUGUGGAUGACUGUUACCGUUGCGUUUGCUUAUUGCUUUGCACUGUUUUCGGUUUCAUGACCCAGAAAGGAGAAAGGAUGAAGUGAACAAAUUUGGAAGAAUUUUAUUUAAGUAGAAUUUGGACUCCUUCAAAUGGAAAAGGAAAAGGAUCAAAGAAAUGCAAAUUAUAAACGAUUUGAUUUCGUCACAUUUCUCUCUAAUAACUUCCCCUAAUUGCGUCUUGCUUAUGGCUCUAGCAUUCAAGUACCUGUCAUUACAUUCUCUUGCAGUAUAUAUCUCUGCAGUUUAUACCUUACGAAUGAAGAUUUGGUGAUCGAGUAAUGUUGCCCACCAUCUCCAGAGAAACACAGGGCUGCUCUACUGGAACCUGCAAAGAUGAUUGCAAUGUUGGUUAUGCUUUUGUCUUCAUCCAUAAACCCAGAAUUUUUUUCCGAUAUGGCCAGAAAGAUUAAGUUCCUUACAAAGUGGCCGGCCCCCAGAAUCCAAUAGAAGAACAAGUUUUUGUAUGACUUGACAAAUCCUUUUGUAGUCGUUUCAUCGUUGCCACAAUACAAUGGAGUACGGUCCAAGCUCAAGAAGGUUUUCAAAUCACCCCAUCUGUAAAUUUAACUGAUUAUGCAACCUUAAAAUAAGAGCAAUCCGAUACGUUCUGAUGAACUAGAAUGAGAGGAAUGUUACUUGAGUUUGUCGAGCCAUGCUUCAGCACCUUUGGUUGAGCAUAUGACAUCAAGCUAUCAUAAACAACCAAAAAAACCAUUUUAAUUGCAAGAGCUAAACCAUUUUAAUUUUUAUUCAUUAUUUGAUAAUUCCCCAUUAAAAAUAGACUCGGAAUUCAUGCCUGUCCAUUGUAUAUUGUCACGUUUAUGCCCUUGGCUAGGAGUUCGUCAACCUGCAAAAUUUCAUGGAUCUUAAAUGCCCAUCAAGAAUUAAAUCCAAUCUCUUAAUCAAGAGACAAUAAAUGACAAGGGUUCUGCUUGAUUGCUGAGGAGACACAAGAAAAGAAAGGUGAAUUUGGAAAUCAUCCCUAAUAUGAUUGUAGCCCAAUUGUGUUUUGAACCUCAUGUUUCAUCUUCCUAUUAGUCAUUCUUACCUCGUUUAUUCUUGGUCUCAUGAAAUCACCAGCCAUUGCAGGAAAAACAAGGUUACCCUGUCCUCCCCAACUGCAGUGCAGCCAUUGCAAAAACAGAGAAUCUAUCUUAUCAACAAUUUCAGUUGAAGAAAAACUUGUGAUAAACUGCUCAUUUCUAGCAAUUAAUACCUUCGGCAGGGAAAAACUUACCUUACACUUUCAGGGAUAAUCUUUAGCUUUUCUCUGAUAGGUCCAUUCAUUAAGCUGGGAAGGUCAUCCGUAGAAGAUGAACCAUUACUUGAUAAAGAUUUCUUGGCACCAAGAUAUCGCGGGUCCCUUCCCAUCAUUACUUCAUUCCAUCCCCCAGACGUAGAAAGGACGGGAUCGUUUGCAUAAUCCACCAUGAAGUUGUAGAAGUCCUGCACUCCCAUGAAACUGACUCAAGAUUCUGGAAGUUAUUGUGUGUAUGAUGGGUAUAUGAGAGUCAGACAGAGAGAGAAGGAUACCACAUCGUUACUGCUGAUGGAAAUCACAUUCUCAAGUUCAAAAAAUGUUUCUGUUGCUUCUUUGUAUUGCCCUUCUGCAAGCUGCUGCUGUAUCUGGAGUGCUAGUCUGUUUUCGCAGACCGUUUGUGUUAGAUUACGUGUAAAACUUCUUCCUAAACCUUAGCUUCAAAGGCACCAUUUUCCAAACCUGUUUGAGCUAUUCAAUCCGUUGCCAUCGAGCCGUGAGACGUCCUUAAGUAGAGGUCCCCAUGACAACUGCAAGUUCAUGAAUCCAAAAUUGAUAGAAAUACCAGAAAUUUUACUUGACAAAGCAUUUCUGUUUCUGAAACAAUCUUACAUACCACAAAAUCUUCAGGAGAUAUCCAACUAUCUCCCAAAGCAACCCCUGUACUCAAACAAAUAAGCCCAACAUUAUUUAAAAAUGUGUACUCUCAAAAGCAAAGCAUCAAAAGUAAAAUAAAUUUUUGACUACCCCCAAGUUGAAGCUUCAAUUCCCCUGCUUCAAUUGCUUUUAAAGCCGACAGCCCAAGAGUGACUGCAAAUUUUCCUCCAUAAGACUCCGCAACAAUGUAGAGAGGACUUUUUUGGAGGGUCUCGUUUCCAUUGAAUAGCUCCUUCAACAGGGUGGUCAGAUCCGUUGCAGCCUCAUCAUCAGUGGUAACCACCAAGCUCUCGUCCUCCACAUAACUAAAACCUGUUGCCACAGGACUAUCCUAAAAAUCACAUUGAAAAACAAAACAUUAUUUCCCUGCAUUCAUGUAAUGACUCACCAUGAAAAAGGAAGUGAACAUUGUAAAGAAAGUGAAAAAGGGUACAACAAUUUACCACAAAUAAGAGGUCAGCCUUCCGGAGCCAAGUUGAAUUGCGAGGCUGCAAAUUCCCGUCCAAUGGUCCUAUCUCCAAGAAAUUUCCAAACCCAACUCCAGAGCCUCCCUGAAUUGGAUAUCAGAAUUAGAGAAUCAGAUUAAAAAAAAAAAAAAAAUCUUCAUAUGUUGUAGUAGCAUUUUAAUUAUUUCUUUCGUGUUCGCAGGUUUUACUCACAGGGCCUCCCUGGAGCCACAGAAGUAUAGGCCAUGGGUUGGAUGGAUCUUCCACUCUGUCAGGACUUUUGUAGAGCCACCAAAAUAGGUGUGCCUCUGCAUCAAUUAAAUUGCAAAUUACUUGACAAGGAUGAUGAGAACAGAAGCUGUAACAACAUUGAUUAUACUGAUUUUGACAUACUGGGUCGGACUUCCACGUAUCCCCACUGCUCAGACCCAUCAUCCGUUCCUGCGGCAAAAGCAGUAUAUCCAUGAAGCAAUGGAAAAAGUACAAGAAAGGAGAGAAAAAGGAAAGAGUUUUUCUCCAUGGCAGCCACCAUAGUGAUAAAAUGAAAUUGAUUUAGAAGAUACUAUAUAAAGCAUAAGAACCUUCACUUCUGUGCCUUGGACUAAGAAAGGGACAUUAAUUAGAAAACAGAUGUGGAUGAUAAAUACAAGAAACCAAGUUGUAUGCAGAACAUAGAAAGAGACACUAUAGGAAACCAUCCUCAUUAUUUUGCUUCUAUUGGCACGGCAUAAUCGGCUGAUAAAUAUGGAAAUGGACCAAAUUGUGGCUGCACAAUGUGCAGGUCUUUGCUCCAUUGGUGAUAAGUUGGGCAUUUGGUAAAAAAUGUCAUUGGAAGAAAGAAGCCAGACGAUACACCCUGAUUCGAUUUGAGAAAGCAAACAAAUAGAAGCUAUUAAACAAUGGAGAUUUAUAAAACUAAAAAUUUCAGGUCUUCUGCUUCCAAACGUGACAAUGUUAUAAACGAGUAUAUCAAAAUAAUAUGUUUGCUCUGCAAUUCCAGAAUGAUUCUCUUGUGACAGUGAUACAAUAUUUUAAAGACUAUUUUAUCUUAUUAUUAAUUAUUUUUAGUAAAUAUAAGCCGGAGUUGUCUUUUCAUGUAUGGCCUCUGCACGAGAAUAUAGAAGGAAAAGGUAAACAUCUCAAAAAUUACUUCCUAUGUGAAACCUAUCAAUAUUAAUUAAUAAUAGCCAAGAGAGAACAAAUUCGAACAAACAAGGCUUGUUUGAUGUGUUGGUGCUGCCAAAGUUUUCUCUCUGAAUCCCCGUCCUCGCCCCCUUCAUUACUACUUCUAUAGUGAAAUUUGGUAUACUGACCCCUGCGAAGGAAUCAUGGCAAUGGUGUGAGUAUUGUCCAUUAGAUCGACUAGUGCUGACCAGCACUCCCCAAUGCAUCUUGGCAGGGCACCAACUUUUGCUCCCGUCUGGUCAGGAUGGCAGGGGCCGUGCAAGUACAUGGAGCAUGAGCGAAGCGGGAAUGAAUGAAAUUCAGUUUCCAAUCAUGCUGAUCUCAACCAAAACAUCCAUUUUUAGUGGCCUAAUAAAAAAGUCAUCUCCAGUUUGAUUAAUUUGCAAAAGGGGUAAGAUUGGAAUUUAAAUUAUUUAUUUAUUAUAAGUUUAACUCAUAAAAGGUUAUUAUUAUUAGUUUCAAUUAGAGUCUCACAUAGAAUUUGAAUGAAGGUAAAAAUGUACUAUUAGUUUGAAUUAUAGUAGAAGAUAAAGUUUGAAUCAGAGUAGAAGUUUAUAAAACCCUAUUGUAAAUGAUAGUGGUUUUGCUAUGUAUAUGUAUUGGUAAGGAUAUUAUGGCUUCAAAUCGGUUUCCUCAUUUACAUUAACAAUCUUUGCUUUAGCCUCACAUGGUUUGUCAAUGCUUUCUUUACUAUGCAAUAUUUUGAUUUCAAAACCUCUUUGCAGUUGAUCAACUCCAAAUUUGCCUAAUUCAAUCCAUUAGAAUUUUCUUUUCUCUCUGCUUCCUACCAUAUUUUUGUUCUUGAUUUUCUUAUCAUUUUUUGAUUUUUUUUUCUUUUCUUGUUAUUCUUAGAGAGAUUGAUUCUUGACUGUUAAAAAUAAUAAUAACAAUAAUUCACUAGCUUAAGCUUUUACAGAUUUGGAAAAUAGUACUCAUAUAUUUAGUCUUGCUUUUUUUUUUUUUUGUCAUUUUUCUCUAGAAAAUUGAUAUAAUUUGCACUUAUAUGAUGAUUACUAGUUAUAUUUGUUUGCUCUUAGUUCAUAUUUUCAAACCUCCCUCUCUCUUUCUCUUUCUCUUUAUAUGUAAGCUUCCUUAGAGGUUUGAUUCUCUUGAUUUUCACUUAAUUUUAUUGUAAAUUUCUUUCUACUUUGCCUCUUUAUGCCAUUUACUGAAAUAUUAUUCAACCCCUUUCCCCCCAUAUAUAUAAGCUUUCUUAGAGGUUUGAUUCUCUUGAUUUUCACUUACUUUUCUAGUAAAUUUUUUUUCUACUUUGCCUUCUAUGCCAUAUGCUGAAAUAUCAUUCAAUUUGGUGCUAAAUAAAGCUCUUAAUCCUAUUCUUCUUCAUCAAAUUUUCUAUCAAACAAAUUUAUCAAAGAUUUUGGAAAUAUAACUCAAGAAGAUGUAGUUACCUAACCUCUCAAUCACUUAGUUGAAUCCACUCAACACCUAGACCCUAUGGAGACCACCCUCCAUAGAAGCCUAUUUAUAUAUUUUUAGUUUACCUUAGAAUAGAUGAUAACUAUAUAGAGAAAAAAAGAAAAUUAGGGAAAUAUGGCAUGACAUUCUAAUCGAUAAUGGAUGAAUUUUUAUAUACAAAUAAUAUUUGAGGAGAUAAAUCUCAAUUUUUACUCUAAUUCAAACUAAUAAUAAUUAUCUUGUAUUCUAAGUUAAACUACUAAUAAAUAACUACUAAUAUUUGCAUUAAGAAUAAAUAUUAACUUUCACUAACAUGGCUUAUCAAGACAAAGCUUUGAUUGAAUAUUCCAAUCUCAGUCUUGAGAGAAAGAAAAUAAAUGUGAUGUAUUUGACUUCUUUGGAGAGUAGUCUCCCAAGGGUUGAGGUGUUGACUGGAUUUGACUGGGUGGCUAAGAGGUUAGACAUAAGCAAUGAGAUCUUCUUACUCAAGCAUUAUUUCCAAAAUAUUUGAGAAUUUAUAGAAAGAAAAUUUGUUGAACAAAAAGUAGGAUUAAGAGUCUUAUUUAGCAUCAAACUGGAUAAUGUUUUAGAAACUAAUACAAUAGAUGACACAAGAAGCAAAAUAAAAGACAGAGCAAAAGGUAGAUUUCAAGCAGAGGAACAUGACCAUGUUUGUUUUCCUGAGACAUGCAAAAAAGCAAUCAAAUCUAAAGAAGAUGGAGAAACCAAGGAGAAAAUAUAUGGGAGCAAUUGUUUGGGUGCCAAAAAAAAAAAAAAAAACUCAUGAAAAAAAACAAGAAAGGAAAAUAUUGAAAAAGAGAAGUAUAUGAAAAAAAUACCUUUUGUUUAGAAAAUAAACAAUAAAAAAAGGUUUUCAAGAACUCUUGAGUGUUGAGAAAAUAAGGUAAAUUUACAAGAAAAGUGAGUAAAAUUCAAGAAAACUAAGGUUUUCAACUUAUCUCUAAGAACCUUUUAUACAAAGAGAAAUAGAGGUUGAGAAUGUGAAUUGAGAUCAAAUAACAAUAACUAGUAAUCAUCAUAUAGUUAGGGAUGAUAGUUUCUUGGGUUAAACGGAUUACUUUCCCGCCCUAACUCUAUUGGGAUGAAUAUGAAAGUAUAUUAAUCAGGGAUAAGAUGAAUAUGAAGACUUAUUUAAAACCUGAGUUAGGUUUGGGAUAGGCAUGAAUUUUGUACUAACUUGUCCUGCCUCACCUGCUCUAUAUGUAAAUUGACCAAUUCAUCCCUCAUAUAAAUAGAUGAUUCAACCUUCAUUUUAAGGCUUCUCUUAGUCGUAGAUGACUCCUUUCUCAACUGUAAACAACCCCUCUUCUCUCCAUUCCUUUUAUUCUAAAACCAUAACCUAUUCUAUGAGUCUCAAGUUAAUGAAAGACCUUAGUAGCUUUCCUAAAACCAAAUCACUUCAUAUUGUUUGUUUCUCGUAUCUAUCUCAAGCCAUUUUCUUACAAAUCUCUUGACCCUUUUUCUUUGCAAUUGUUUCUCCUCUUUAAUCUUACCAUUCACACUUUUGCAUCCAUGAUGAAGAUUCGGUGGGAUUGUAUGAGAUGGACUCAAAGGGUUUUUUGAGGUUGUUUUGCUAGGAUAAUGAAUUAGGGUUUGGACCAUGGUGACGACUUCAUUUGAGGUCAAGAUCAAGAUCUUUUCAUUUGUGCACUGGAGAGAUUUACAAAUUUAUUGUGUUUGGUAUACAAUUCUUUGUUAGAACCCUAAUCCAACAUAAUAUACAUUUGAGGUGGGGAUGUGAUUACUAUUCUUUUUGUAAACGAGGAUGGAAUACAUCCAUUGACCUUGCCCCAGGUUUGAGACAAAGAUGAAAAAUAAUUGUAUAAGUGGGAUGGAAAUGAGAUAUGGGUGCCUAGUCCCAAACCUGUUCCAUUAUCAUCCCUACAUAUAGUGCAAAUUAUAUCAAUAUUUUAUAGAAAAAUGAUAAGAAAAAAAAAGUAAGACUAAAUGUGUUAGUACCAUUUUCUUAAUCGGUAAAAGUUGACGCUAGUGAAUUACUGUUAUUAUUAUUUUUAAUAGUUAAGAAUCAAUUUCCCAAAGAACAACAAUAAAAAAGGAAAAAGGAAAAAAAAAUUCAAAAGAUUAUAAGAAAUCAAGAACAAAAAAGUGGUAAAAAGUAAAGAGAAGAAAAUUUUGGUAGAUUUGAAUUAGACAAAUUUGGAGCUCCAAACUCUAAAGAGAAAUUGAAACUAGGAUAUUGUGGUAGGUUUGAAUUAGACAUUAACAGACCAAGUGGGGGCUUAAGUAAAGAUUGUUAAUAUAAAUGAGCAAAUUGAUUUUGGCCAUAGUAUCCUUGCCAAUACAUAGGAAUAGCAAUGUCGUGAUAUGAUAUAGAGGAAGAAGAAGAUUUCAAAAAUAUAACAUGACAUUCUAAUACAUGAUCCAUGAGUAUUUAUAUACAAAUAAUACAUGACGGGACAAACCUCAACUUUUACUCUACUUCAAACUCUAUUUGGGAUUCUAAUUCAAACUCUAAUUCAAAAUAUAAUAAACUUCUAUUUUAAUUCAAAAUCUAUAUCCUACUCUAAUUCAAACUAAUAAGUUAAACUAAUAAUAAAAAGCAAAAGCGGAGAAAGAAGCAUACACCAUAAUGAUAUGUUACCUAUGGUAUUAAAUAUUGAAAAUAAAAAUAAUAAUGAAUGAUUAGAUAACGUUACGGACACCAACACCCAGAGAUGUAAAAGAAAAAGGGUGGUGUGGUAAAUGAUAUUACAAUAGGUUUGGGUACAACCGUAGCAUCAAAAGGCGCCUUUCUAUUCCAACAGAACCAUCACGAGUGAUUUUCGGGGCACAGAACCCUGCAUGCGUGACAUAUUUUUCUGUGCCUUUCAUUUGUUGGAUCCUUUGGAAGGGGAAGAAGCCAUUCAUUUCCAUCAAUGUAUGAAACAUCCAGGUAAGGGGCUGCUUCCGACUGCAUCAGUUGCUUUGCAUAGGACACCCUGUAUGUGUUGUUUGAUCCUGGUCCCUUGCAAUCAUAUUCUCCGAAGAAGACGGUCCUACAAAACAUUUAUGCACAUCAACAACAUUCAGCAACUUUCUAUUAACAUUUUGAUCAACCACACCAGGAAAAAAAAAUAAUGCAAAAGGAAAGAGAAAAGAGAGGUAUUAGCAACUAGGAUCAACCACAGACUGGUCUCUAGAGGGGUCUCUCCAAUCAUUCCAUCCAUCUGAAGCUACAAGAUCGGCCAUGUAUGUGUUAGAAAAAACCACAGUGGCAUAGGCUCCCCAAGCUCUGCCAAGCCACACUCUUCCAGUUCCACCAAUUACACACUUUACAAAGGAAAACCCUGUUUUCUCAUCCACUGAUUGCCUCCCUUGAGCUGUGAUCGCUCCGCUUAUUCCAGAUGAGACCUCUUUCGCUGUGGAAUUUAUUGUGCACUCCUGCCAUAACAAAUUUGUCAAUGCAUGCAGUAAUCUUAUUAAUCAUUAUUUCAUCUGAAAAUAUAGAUCUGAAAGGGAAUUUUUCAGCCAUGAAUUACGAAAAUGCUGUCUGGUUAUCCAUUAAAGCUUACUGUUUGAUACAUCUUCCUUUUGGGUCAAGUUACACCCGCAUCUUCCUUGAAUCAUAUCUGUUUAUAAAGGUUGUUCUUGGGAUAAUAAUUAACACAGUCCAUAUCGUUUUAGAGGCUAAAUGUAAUGCAUGUGUGAUCAAUGUUAAUUAUGUAAUGAAGAAGCUCCAAAAUGAAAAGUUUAAAAGAGGUUAAUAUCCUAUUAUUGGAGGACACUAGAGAGGGUUUACCUCAUAGAGGGAUCUAGCAUUUCCAAAGAUGAAAUCAAUGGAUCCUUGGAUGAAACAUUCUCUAAAAUAAUGCCUCCCUCGAUCAUCAUGAAGCGUGUCUUGGGCUCCAUAAAAUCCACAACCAUAGAAUGCGGCUUGAUCAUUUGCGACUCUAAGCGCCACUGCCUGCCCUCCAACAUCGCCAGGUGAUGCUGGAGGAGCUGUAUUCUUUACCAGGAAUCGCAGCAAAAGACCAUCAAUAGGGUCAGUCUAAAUUGAAAAAAUCAACUUGGAAUGAUGUGUAAGAUCCCUAUUUGUUCUGAAUUCAUUACCUGAAAGCUAAUGUUGUAUGCUGUGAAGUUGGGAGCAAAGAUGGCCACUGAAUAGCUGUAGGAGGUCCCUCCAGUAGAAUUUGCAGUGUCGUUCCAUGCUAUGGCUGUAUUAAGAUAACCCUGGCCUUGAAAUAUCAAAUUCGUCUUGCUAGCGCCCACUACUACCUUUUCCCUGCCGUCAUGUGGUAACUUAUUUCACUCUCUGCAAACUAAAAAACCAGCAAUGCUAUGCAAGAAAUUUCAUAUAAGGACUGCCUAUUUGCAUUUGCUUUUGGGGGGUUUGGGGUACAAGACACUGAAUUCCAUUUUUUUUCUUCUCAGAUUGGUUGAUGUGGAAAUGUGGCAAUGCUAGAAUUCAUCAAAGCAUUUAACAGAGAAAAAAGAAUCAGAGUUAAUGACCUGUAAAUGCCGGAAUCCAUAAUGAUGAGGGUCCUGGAGAGGCUAGAAUCAGGAACAGCAUCUACCGCCUUCUGCACACUGCUGAAAUUUGCACAACCCUUUAAAUCCACCGUCAAAAUAAGGGAAACAUUAUAACUCGAUAUGAUCUUAGACUUCCAUUUGGCAUCAUCGCAUAUGACCUCAGGCUUCCGAUGAUGAUGGUGGUGGUGGUGGUGCCUCUGGGAUGCUCUAUCAGUGGCUUGAUUUAAAAGAGACAGGAAGUCCUCUACGCCGCUUUGCUUGACAAUCCUUCGGAGAAAGGCCAGUUCAAGGUCACCUUGAGUAAUAGUGGCAGUGGAAGAAGAGAUAGUAAAGAGGGCAACUGUAAUAGAAAGAAGUGCAAUGAGAAAAGCAGAGGACCAAAAGAAGAGGGUGGUUUUGAUUCUCAUGGUUAAGGCUUAGAUGUUGUUUUAGCGUUUUAUGUGGUACUGAGACAAGAUGUGGAAUGGGCGUAAGGUAGUGUUUGAUUUAUUUGUGGGAAGGGGAGAGUGGUAAUUGGCGUGGCAGGUAAGAAAUGUAUGAGACUUAUAUGUGGUGUGUGAUGUUUGUGCGGAGAUGAUUGCAUCUUCUGCUUAAUGUGCGUGGAGAUGAUUACUGUGGAGAUGAUUACUUCAGCUUAAAAAAAAGAAGAGAGUAUGAAAAGAGAGAGAAGGGGGAGCAAUGGAGAUUGGAAGAUGCACACGCCAAGGCAGAAAAAGAAAACAGAGAUUUUGGUUAUGAUGAAAGCAGAAGUGCUGGCUGGGUUGACUCCUCUAAAGAUGAUGGCCGGUGGGUCUGGCUCAAUGGAGAUCAUAGCUUGUAAAGGAAAACAGCAAAUUGGCCUCCUCGUCGGCUCACACUAGGCCUGUAUGGUUUUACUUAGAAGGCAUAUCACCGCCAUUGUUCCCUGGUAGUGCCCUUGUCAGAAUAUCCCAGUGAUGAAAUCUUCUUCCCUACCAAACAUUUUUUUUAGCCACAGCCUUUUAAUGCACACAUAUACCUGUACUUAAUAAUUUUUCUAACACAAACAGGUCUCAAGCCUUGUCGCCGCUUCCUACCGACCAAGUUUUGUCCCUUGUUUAAUUAGAAAUAUUAAUCAUUAAAGCCUAAGGGUAAGGACUUUUGGAGUGGGUUAAUCAAGCUCUUUUCAGACCCAUAAUACUCCCUGCACGGACAGGUACCUUUACGUUGAAAACAUCCAAAUCUGCUGUUUGCACCUCAAUUUUGUCUUGCAGCUUCGAUCAAUGAGGCCUGAAGCACCAUCGUGAUGGACUUGAACCUCUGUAAUAAUUUAUGCAAAUUUGCUUUUAAUAUUGAUGCAUUGUUGCUGCUUCUUUCUAAGCAUUUUGUCACACUGAUAGGCUAAUUGGCGGUCUAAUUGGAAACAAUCACUGUUGGGUAAUCUCUGGAGAAAACUAGAAACAACCACCCAAUAAUUCCCAUCCUAUUUUAAGACUCCUUGCUUGGACUACUACAUUACUUGAUAGAAGAAAUGGGACUGAAAUGAAAAGGCUUUUGCUAUACUACAUACAAGCACAAGCCAAUUGAGUGGUUAGAAUUGUACCCUUCUUCCUGUUGGGCAUGCAUUACAUUUUUUCUUUGUACUCAAGACUUCCCAAACAUGAAAAAGAACACUUAAUCUAAAUAAUUACUUUGUUGGGUGUUUGUAAAAAAGAGUUUGUGUACCACCACUUGUGUAAUUCGAGUUCUUAUUAGGCCAUGUUUGGUACAUAGUAACGGAUAAUGAGAAUGAAUAUUUUGUUUUAAUUCUUAUUUUUUCUUAAAUAAGAAUGAAUUUGAUAAUUUCAAUUUUUGUAUUUGAAUGAAUUUAGAAAUGUAAAGUCAGAAUGAUUUUUGUUUUCAUUUUGAUGUUAGGUAAUAAUGAGAAUAAGAAUCUAAAAUAAAUUGAUAAUAAUAUUUGCACACAUGAUUUAAAAUAUUUUUUAUUUUUAUUUAAAAAAACCUAUCAAACUAUGGUUUAUUGAAAACAAAAAACAUCUUUGAGAGUUUUUAAAACUAAAUAAUAAAAGUUUAUUUGCUCAUGUAAUUUAAAAAUAAUGUUUUAUGUUUUUUUUUUGUUUUCAUUUUGAUGUUAGGUAAUAAUGAGAAUAAGAAUCUAAAAUAAAUUGAUAAUAAUAUUUGCACACAUGAUUUAAAAUAUUUUUUAUUUUUAUUUAAAAAAAACCUAUCAAACUAUGGUUUAUUGAAAAAAAAAACAUCUUUGAGAGUUUUUUAAACUAAAUAAUAAAAGUUUAUUUGCUCAUGUAAUUUAAAAAUAAUGUUUUAUGUUUUUUUUUUUGUUUUCAUUUUGAUGUUAGGUAAUAAUGAGAAUAAGAAUCUAAAAUAAAUUGAUAAUAAUAUUUGCACACGUGAUUUAAAAUAUUUUUUUAUUUAAAAAAACCUAUCAAACUAUGGUUUAUUGAAAAAAAAAACAUCUUUGAGAGUUUUUUAAACUAAAUAAUAAAAGUUUAUUUGCUCAUGUAAUUUAAAAAUAAUGUUUUAUGUUUUUUUUUUGUUUUCAUUUUGAUGUUAGGUAAUAAUGAGAAUAAGAAUCUAAAAUAAAUUGAUAAUAAUAUUUGCACUCAUGAUUUAAAUUAUUUUUUAUUUUUAUUUAAAAAAACCUAUCAAACUAUGGUUUAUUGAAAACAAAAAACAUCUUUGAGAGUUUUUUAAACCAAAUAAUAAAAGUUUGUUUGCUCAUGUAAUUUAAAAAUAAUGUUUUAUGUUUAAAAACAAAAAAAUUGUUUUUAAAAAUUUAUAAUCUUUUUGGUUGUUUUUGAAUAAUAGUUUUUAAAAACAAAAGAGAACCAUUUUUAGAGGACAAGUAAAAAUUGUUUUCAUUCAUUUUUAAAAUAUAGGAAAAUAUAGAGAAAUAAAAAAAAUGAAUAAUUAAGUAAAACAUAAAUAAUAUUUUAAAUUUUUUUAAUAAAUGUUCUAAUUUUAAGAAUAAUUUUGAAUUCAAAAAAUUGAUUAAUUGAUUAUAGAUUAAAUAAAAAAUUUUAGAAUAUUCAAUAUCUAAUUAAGUACUAAAUGUAUAUAUGUUGAGUCAUUUAUACUUUAAAAAAUAAACUUUAUUUAUUUUUAAAUUCAUUUGCAAUAAAAUAGUCCUAGCAAUUAUUAAUUUUUAAUAAAACAAAUUAAUUAUACUUUUGUGAGAUGUUAAUAUCCAUAUUUUGAUGUCAUUUAUAAAAAAUAGAUUUUAUGAUAUUAUUAUAGUAUUUCUAUUCAUAUUUUAUUAAAAACUAUUUAUUUUUUUAAUUUAUUGGUAAUUAGAAAAUUAUUUGUAUUUUUUUUAUUAAAACUUAAAUUCAAUUUAGUUUAUAUUAUAUGAAUUGAAUUUACAAUUUUUUUUAAAAAUCAAAACAGAAAAACAUUUUUAAAAACAACUUAUCCAAAUAAAUUUAAGUUAUUUUAAAAACAACUUGUAUGCCAGAGAAUCAAAAUACCUCUUUUAAAGAUGAAUCAAAAUUUCACUUAUAAGUGAAAUUUUAUUUUCCGCUCCUUAUUUAUACUUGCACUACCAUUUGGAUCAGUUCAAACCACAAUAGAUCGUUAUGUGCUGAUUGUUAAACACUUGUUCUCCAAAGCCUAUUAAUUUUAACUAUUUAUUUUACUUCAGUACUUGCCCUUAUAGUUUUUGCUUCUAUUUAAUGCAUACCAAGCAUAUCAUAUACUAUAUAUAUAUUAUAUAUAUUCAGAUUGAAUGCCAUUUUCAAGGGGAAAAAUGGUUAGAUAUGAGAGGAAAUAGCUAAAGGCCCAAAUUGCUGACAUUGAAUAUUUAAUACUUUAUACAAAAAUCCAAAAAGACCAAAAUCAUUCACAAUCAAAAAAGCCCUCGCUCCUUCACAAAACCAAAAUCCCUGUGAUCUUCCAAAAACUAAAGACCAUCAUCUCGUCUGACAUCUCUCUAACAAGGAAAAGCAUUAUGGAGUUCAUAAUACUUUGCUGAAUCUUAUUUCUCGUCUUUCAUCAAAAAUUAUGCUGCUGCCAUAACCAUGGCUCUUCUUUUUAAAGUCUAACUAAGGCUCUGUAUUAACACCAUAACCAACUUUGAUAUUUUCAUUUUUGAUGGAUAAUCCUCCGCCACUCAGGAACCCCCUUUUCUAGCAUACAUGUCCCUUGAAAGCUUAUCAUCUGAUAGAAGCUUUUCCUGUACUCGCUAAGCUGCAUGACAAGGAAUACAAGAAUUAAUUCAAUGUCUAUGGCAAUUAAAAAUGCACAAGCAAAACAAUAAGCACAUGAAAAAGCAAGAAGGCAGACCUGGUCUGGCGUUAUCUUCUUAAAGCCAAAUUUCUUAGUCCAUAUACACUCUGCUUCUUCAGCAGCCGGAAGCACAAAGCUCCGCACAUUUAAAAAGGCCAGAAGUUUUUCAAUGCAGGAGAACAAUAUCUGAAAGUAGCCCUACAAAGAUAUCCAAGAUGCAUGAAACCAGUUAUAAAAUCACAGCAAGAUUGCAAUAGGCGGUGAAGGACAGAAAACAAUUAUCAGAAAUAAAACCCGUGUUUAAUAAUAUUCUAUGAACCAGGAAAAAGAACCAAAUCACAUGCAACUUUUGGAGGUAACCUUAAUUUACCGCAACAUUCAUGGUCACUAUUAUAUUGAUGGAAAGCAAUAAAUCAUUAGAAUAAAAAAGUCCUGAAACUAUUGUAAUGAGAAUAACUGUUUUAUUUCUCCUGCUUUCCCCCUAAUGAAUAUUGUCCUUACCCCAGGUUUCUCAUACUCAGACCAUAAUCUAAUCAUGACUAAUUCUUCAACUCUCAAUAAUUACUGGCACCAAAUAGUUCCCAAAAAAGGAUUUUCUAAUACUGUAGAGAGAACCUUAUGAAAUUGAAUUAUGGUAUUAUACAAAACUCCAAAUGGACUUCUGAUGGAAAGAGAUAAUUUGGAGGUAUAUAGAACUCCACAGGUCAUUGAAGGAAAACGAGAUGUAGGUUAUUGAAGCAGCUAUCAGCUAAGCUACUCAUUUUUGAACUCACCCUGCCUUGGUUAUCAACACUAGUUGCAACCAGAGGGAGCUCUGCCACUUCCUGUCCGAACACUCGAAGGAUUCCAGCCGAAACAACAUGUGAACUGCAUAUCAAAGAGACAGUUAUAAAUAACCUCCUGGUGAAACAAUGACCAGAUUAGGCAUAUAUAAUUUCAGAUUCUUACUUGACUGUUAUGACUGCACAAUACAAUCCACUGAAAUCCUGACCCCUUACAUUCCUUCUGAGAAAGUGAGACAUUUACAAAUUCACUUGUAACAAAAUGACAAAUGAUGGCAAAAUAUAUACCAGAAAAAAACUUAACCACACAUUAAUAAAUCGGGAAAGAUAUUGUGCUUACCCAUAAACCAUGGCUGGAAUAAGGUCACGUCCAGUCACUGAAUCUAUUAUUGGGUCAAAGCGAUCCUAACACAAAAUUAGCAGAAAUUUAGUUUAAUUCAAUGAUGGAAGUUGCUUUUAUGUAUCCACCAAGUAUUGAAGAAUGUCCUUUUAAAAACCACUAGUGAAAUGAAAUAUUAUGAAGACAUAAAUAAGCGUCACUUCACAUUUGCCAAACAUUUACUUCAAAAUGUAGGCCCAGGCAGUUUGUUUCUACCUGCAUGAAUGCCGAUACCAUAAAAAAUGGAGGCCUAUAGCACCAAUUGGGUGAGUGGUAGCACACAAUUUUUCAGGCAAGAUAAAUUUAAUACAAAGGUACCAAAUAAGUUAUACAACGUCAUUUUGGCCCACAAAGUAUAUCAAAAGAAAAACAACCCAAAAGACUAGCAAAAUUAGUCAUUAUCAUUGAAAUCAUUAGCUUUUUUGCCCAAUUCACUAAAGCUGAGAGGGUUUUAAACUAAAAUCACAUCAAUUGUGGAACCACUAUCAUUUCCAAAUAAAUAAAUUGAAACUGAAGAACUGUAUAUCUAGAUCCAGCAACCAAGAAUAAUAAAAAUUCCUGCUUACAGUAGUUAACGGAAGUGUGAUUGCCAUGGACUAUGCUACAGGCAAAAAAGCAACCAUUAAAUAAAUGAUUAUCUAGAUACAUCAAGAACGGUACUUACAUGGAAGAUAGCAACGGCCUCAGAGAGCAACACCCUAGUUUCAGGAGAAGCAAGUUUGCCACUAAGGAGCCUCCAUCUUACAUUAUAAUCAGCAAUGCUUUCUAAACCUUUCCUCUCAUGCUUCUCCUUUAUAACAUUCAGCAGAGAGUCUGGAAGCUUCUCCUCUCCACGAACAUGCAGCUUCUGCAAAGCGGAAUGGAUCCUUAUGCAUUCCAAGCAACAAAACCAUUUCCCACUGGGUAAUUCCUGCCAUGCAAGUUUAUCACAAUUUUAUCCAAAUAAAAAAAGAAUUGCAUCUAGACUUGGAAAGGAGGGAUUCUUCACGCAAAGCAAUCUACACAUAAAAUAAGAUAAAGAUCAUUUGCGUGCACACCUUUAAAUCUUGCAUCUUAUGGUCCCUCAAACAGCCAAUAUGAAACUCCUUUUCACACUGGAAUAAAUUGGAAGAGAAAAAGGUACUAGUUAAGAAUAAGCAACACUAUUCAUAAAUCCACUUCCAAAGCGCUUUAGAGCUCAAUAUACAUAUAUAGAUACACAGAUACAUUUUUUUUUAUAGGCAACCAGAAAUAUAUAUAUAUAUAUACAUGCAUGGUAAUAUACAUACAUAGUAAAGGGUGGUACCAUGCAUGUAUAUAUAUAUAUAUAUAUAUAUAUAUAUAGAGAGAGAGAGAGAGAGAGAGAGAGAGAGAGAGAUAGUACCUGGUCACACAGUAUAAUCGUGCGUGGACCAAAUCCUGACUUACUGAAGUCAUAACCUCUGCAUAUUAACAAACUUCAGAAAAACUUAAAUCCAAGAAAAACCCGAAGGAAUUGGAAUAAAUGAAGACAAAAAUUUAAUGGCAGCAAAAAACAGUAAUAUAACAAUCACUAUAAAGCAUAACAAAGAUGAUGACAAAAGCCACAAGCUCAAAUAAGUUUUUCUAAACAACCAGCACCUGCAUAACACGCAUGCACUAACUUCAGCUUCUGGGUUAACAAUACGAAUGCAUCGCUUGGUUAUUUGUUCUAUGGGAUCCACUCCUGAAACCCUGCCAGCUGCUACAGCAUUGGCGUUAUGCUCCACAAACUUUUCUCGUUGGAACAUGUUCUGGCAAUAUCGACAGUACCAGUCAUCUUGGGGAAUGCUUGGUAGAGAUGCACAUACUGCAUUUUCCAAGAAAAAUGCAUAUUAAAAUUAACUCUGGUAGAUCACAAUUGUAGAACCAAUAAUGAGAGCUAGCUAAAAGUAUUCAUAGAUAAUGAAGAUAUAGGAAACCUAUACUCUAGGAUCCAAUGUAGGAUAUCACAUAACUCAAUUGAAGUUAAUUUUUGUAAGGAAAACAAUGGAGAAUAGACGAUAAUGCUUGUGAAUGUGUGUUAUUAUAGGGAGAAACUUCAUUAGAUACGACAAAUCAUAGAUCCACACAUGACAGACAUGUGAGAGAUUAGGCAAAAGAGAAAGGAACUUUAGUUUUUAGGCAGACAGAAUAUCAAAACUCUUCUGUUUGAAUGAUUGCAUGUGAAAUAAACAAUAUGAGGACCAUAUGUAAAACAGAUUGGAACUUAGAAAAAUAGAAGAAAAGAAUAAAGACAGGGCACGACCCACAUAAAAAUAACCAAGCGGAACCUAGGAGGCGAGGUUUGCCAGUCUGGUAUAAAACUGAUCUUUUGGACAGCUCAGCAGCUCAUUUGCUAGGGAAAGCAUAAUUCUUAAGCCAGUUAUUUUUUAGGUCAAAUUUGAGAAUACAAAAUUUCAGGUUCAUUUUUCCCUACCCUAGUUGUUUUGGGUGGGGUGGGGGGUGGAGGCUUUUUCUCGUUUGAUUGUCUUUAUUUCAUUUAUUAUCCUUUUUGUAACUAUGCCUUUUUUUUUCUUUUUUUUAUAGGCUUUUUUUUGUAACUGUGCUUAUCUCAUCCCAAUAUUGAAAAAAAUAUUCUAUAAUCUAUUCAUAAGUCAGUUAUGUGAGAAGAGCAUCAUUUGAAGCUCUCAAAUCACAAAAUGGGUAAAAGAGAUGCAUUUCUAUAUGCAAAUGAGGCCAAGCCAAUUGAAUUAGGCCUUUUAGAAAAAAUUAGGCCACCUAGGAUAUUUCAUAGUCCAAAUAAUAGCAUCCGAUUAUAAUAUGUGAGUUGUUGCACAUUUAUCAAAGGUUUAAGGCAUAUUAAAGAUGCAAAGAUCUCUUGGAGUUCUAGAAUGAGGUGCAGGACAGAAAGUGUGCCAAAGCAUCAUUUAAGUGCAAACCAGAGUACCACUGCAGUCAUAUAGAAGUUGCAAAUGUGUACCCAUAAAUAAUUAAUAUUGCAAUAGAUUAAUACACUAAUGCAAUGAUCUAGAACUUAAACAUACUAAUAUUUGUUAUAUAUCAUUAAUAAUAAAUAUUCAAACUCAAGCACAAAACAUUAACGUACCAUAGAGGAUUAAUCAUUUACAUAUUUAUUCUUUACAUUACACAAUUGCACUUUACAUUUUAUUUUUUAAAAUCAAAACAUUAUUACCAAAAAGGGCCAAAUAUGUGAAAAUCAAAAGAGGCAGAAUAGGCUUUGGAAACAGCAUAAACAAAAAACAGUUUUGGACAAAAUGAAACAGAAGAACAGGUAUCCAGAAUUCCAGCAGCAAGGUUUCAUUUUGCAUGCAAGGCAAUUAAUUAAGAAGGUCCCAUUAUAGAUAAUCCAGUGAGCAGUUUAAGAGAAUAAAAAAAAUUGCAUUAACUAAUGUUAGAGAAUGGCAAAAAUUUAUACAGGAAUGGCUGAUCAACUUGCCAAAUAGAACCCACAGAUAGUGGUGGAUUGAAGUGGGGGUGAGAGGGGGGCAUGGCUGCUUGCCAACCCCCUGCCCCUCCCUUGGAUUUUAAGUCUGGUUUUGCCUGUGCCCAUGGCAAUGGCCAAACAGGUGCUGAAUAGGGGAGGAAGAGGAGGAAGAGGGCAAGGGGAAAAGGAGAGUGUGAUAAGAAAAAAAUUGGGGUUUCUUUCUUUUGAAGAGAGUUGAGAAUGAGUUAGGAGGAACACACUUCUCUAUGUGGGUUUCUUAUAAAUAAGAUACAGCAAUCAUGCUAUGAGACAAUGAAACACCUUAGUAAAAUUUAAAACUGAAUGAUGCUUUUUUCAAAAAGACCAAAACAAAACACUGGAUCAGGCAUGCCUAUCAUGUGCCUUGGACCUCACACAAAGGCCUGCACUUUGUACUGUACAUGGCAACUUUCCUGAUGCAACAGGAGGUGCCUUCCCUGCCACCACUGCACCUUGCAUCUAGGCAUGCUUUUGACAACACUAUUUUGGGGACGCCUAGGUUGGCAAACGUCCACAGUCCAACACGCACUAUAAUUGACUAGAAUCAGAAAGUCCUACACUUAAAAAAGAAUGACAAAAGGAAAGAAAGAAUAAACAGAGAAAGAGAGAAAAGGGAGGGAAGGAAGAGUAGAAGAAUAAUCAAAAUGGACAUAUAUAAUAUCUUACAAAAACAAGGUAUGUUCCAGGGGACGUCAAAUCCAGAAAAAAAAAAAGGUAACUAGUCCUUUUACUUCUACUUAUAAACAGUAAAAAAGAAGAGAAAAAGGCGUUUAUACUGUAUUCUUCUAGUGUUAGGGAGUCAAUUCACACCUCACAUAUUAAUGCAACAACGUCACAAAUAGUUCCAUUUCUCUCUCUUCUGAAGCAAGCAGCUGCUUAGCAUUCAAGUUAAGUACAAAGGCUCCACUGAUGGGUCUAUCAAACCAGUGAAAAACAUGCAAGUAAAUACAACUGAUAUCUCAAAUAUAAUAGGAAUCCGAGUCUCACCUCUGUGAAAGGCCCUAGGGCAUCCAUCACAAAGCAAAAGAUUGCCACCAUCUCCACAAAUACUGCAGAGGUCGUCAUUAUCCCUAGCAGAAUAUUUACGGCCUUUUGAUAGAGAAAUUGCCAAUUCAUGUAGUGACACUCCAUUUGAUGUGUAAAUGUAUGAAUAGCUAUGAAAAAAAAAGGAUAAUGUUAAGAAAUUACAAAAGACUAACAAACCAAGUUAGAGAACUGUAAAAUCCUUCAACAGAACUCACGGUUUUUUACGUGAGGCCCAACCUGCAUGAGCUUCAAACUGUGAGGCACUGACCUGCUUGUUAAAUGCAAAAAUAUCAAGAUAUAUGUAAACAAUAUAAGCAGCAGUUCUAGCAGUAAAAGAUGUACCUCACAGUGGCAGCACCAACAAAAUAUUCCAAAGCCUUUUUUAUAACCAUCCAGCAAUUUCUGUAAAGAAGAAGCAAUUACUUCAGAUCAUAAAAAUAGUUUAAACAAAUAUAGCAAUUCUUCUUUUUAUCUCAACAACCUUUCCGCCUGCAUAGUAGGCAACUUCAGUUCCAUCAGGUAACCCGCCUUCCUCAAAAACUAAUCUGUGCAACCUCUGAUCUCUUGAGAAAGAAGUCAUCCAAUGACAAAUAAAAGUUAGGCUAAAAGCAAAAACUUAGAGAACUUAAGCAAGAAAUCUAUUAUACUAAAUAAUACAGAUAGAUACCAACUUUUUUGUUAUCUUCCCCAGACUCUUAUUUUCUGAGGAGUUGUACAAUGCACUUCCAGAGGACUUUGUAACUGGAAUUGGUUUCAACAACCUGAAAAAUAACCCAGAUGGAAGCAUAUAACAAAAGGAAAAGAACAUUGGUGUACAAAUUCUAUUGAAGAUGGUGGUUUGUAACUUUGUGUUAACCAUAUCAUAAAUAAUAAUUAAAUUUAAAUUGAUCAAGAUAGGCUAAGUUUGACUAUAUUUGAAAAGUAUCAUAUAGUUGUUAAGCCUUCUUUAGGAAAAAGCUCCACAAUAUAUUUAAAAACUAUUCAAGAUACAGAGAAAGGGAACAUGACACAUGAUGCAAUCGAAAAGUUGACAUAUAUGCAUGCAAGCAACACAUAUUAGAUUUAACAGGUAAACGGUUUUAAAAACAUUUAAGAAUGCAAUGAAUCAAAAUUUUAAGCUUAAAAACUGGUGUUGUUCAAUCAAGUGAUAUAACUUGAGCAAUAAACUACAAUAUAUUGGUUGACCAAAAUUUUCAAUAAAAAAACUACUAAUCUAGUUUACUUGGAGAAUGACUGCAAACCACACUGCAUAAAUCCAAUACCCAAGCCACAGUCUCCCUCCAUUCAAGUUUUACAGCUACUGGAAUUCAUCUUUCCCCGCACUUACUUCCUCCAGUAGAGUUUUUGUUUCAAGUGUAAUUCACCAUUCAUCUUCCAUUCCAUUCAUUUCUCCUUUAUUCUUUCUUCAAGAAAUUUAAGCCAAGGUUUUUAUGGAAAAAAGGUAAAUUGUGGUCAAUGUCCCAAAAAGGUAAAAUUGUGGUCAAUGUCCCAAAAAGGUAAAAAGAUAACUCCUUAAUGAAAUAAUAAAAAUUUGAGAAAUAAAUGAUUCAAAAAGUUCAGGGCCCAAGAAAGGGAAGCCUUGAUCAACUUCUUUCUUUCAAGUAAGAUUCACCACCCAUCUUCAUUCAUUUCUCCUUUAUUCUUUCUUCAAGAUAUUUAAGCCAAGGUUUUAAUGGGAAAAAGGUAAAUUGUGGUCAGCGCCCCAAAAAGUAAUAAGAUAACUCUUUGAUGAAAUAAUAUAAAUUUGAGAAAUAAAUGAUUCUCAAAAAGUUCAGGGCCCAUGAAAGGGAAGCCUUGAUCAACUUCACUUUCCCACAAUGAGCCAUAUAUAUAUAUAUAUAUAUAUAUAUAUAUGAGAUAGUAUUAAAAAGCAUAAAGUGCACAAGAGUACAUCAUUUUCUAGUCAACAAAUUUUCCCACAAGAGUAUAUAUAUAUAGACCUAUAGCUUUCUACUAUGUACCUAAGCAAACAAUUUUAAGCAAAAUCAAAGAAGAUCAUCACCCAUUCUUAACAAACACCAGAAAUUUCAAAGCAUAAAUAAGAAUGAAAGAUAAGAAGCAAAAAUUUGAAACAAGAAAGUCUUAAACAGUUACCUAGCUCUUUCACUGGUCCUAUGAAUUGAAGUAGCUGGUGAGUUGUUUCUCUUAAUGCAUGAAUUGCCUAGUGGAUCCAUUUUUGCAGCUUCAUCUGCAGGUAAAGAUCCUGAGAAUCAUUGAACACCAAGAACCGUCAAGAAAAAUAAUUACAAAAUCAUCCAACUCACUCCUCCACAGCUUAACAGCCUAAUUGACCUGAAUUUAGUGAGAAAACUCACGUUUUACUGGAAAUGAACCAAUGGCACUUUGAAUAGUUGCUUCCAAUGUUUCCAAAGGAGCAUCCUUGCAUACAUGCAACACAUCAUGAAGGUUUUUACCAUUGUCAAGGUAAAUGUACUUUGCUGCAUGUCUGUAUGAUUUGCAAGCAUGGAGCUCGAAUUGGGAAGGCAAAACAACCUACAUUUAUAUAAGGAAAAUAAUAAAUAAAGUCAUUCACUCAAGUCACUGAACUACUCUGCAUGCUGACUAUGGAGUAAUGAAACUACUCACUCUGCUUCCCUUGCACAAAGAACAUGAGCACAAGAUCCCAUUGCCUUUGAUAGUUCCCUGAAGCCUAUAGCCCUACAAUUCAAACAUCACGAUUUAGCCCCAAGCAUGAAAACAAAUUGUUAUUUUCAUGUAAAGCAGCUGAUAAAGAAAUAAAACAAAUUAACAUAGUUAAAUAAACACCAUUAGGUAUGAAUCUACCUUCUUUCUACCAUCGUAAGUUACAGGGUAUCCCUCCAGCAUGCCAGUCUCGAGAAGAUCCCUUAUUGUCAAGGGAACCUUGUUCAAGGCAAUCUUUUUUGACAUUUUCAGUCCUAACUUCUUUGGACUUGUUAAUGAUCUUACCGCACCAUUUGUCUUCUCGUCAACUCCUAUGGCAACAGAAUUGCAAAAAUUAUAGUCUGAUUCCAAACUCUCCACAGUGUCCUCCUUCGAUUUUAAUGCUGAUCUUGUAAACCGCUUUGGAAGUUUCUCCUCCAUCGCAAUAUCUAUCUCCUUGCUCUCAUCGAUCAGUCCUGCAGUUUGCAACUUCAGACUACCAUCAUUUGAUUCGUCCUUGAUUGAAGCUUUCUGGGAUUGGCUCUUCGGCUCCUCUUCACAAAUGGGCCCCACCAAAUAGCCGCCCGUAGGUUUCUCCACGACAACAGGGUCAUUCUCAUCAGUUUUCUGCUCCUCAUCGGUAGUGCUUUCAUCAUCUUUUGGCUCCUCCGCAAUGGUUCUUCUCUCAUCAUUCUUGGACUCUUCCAAACGCUUCAGUCUCUUAUUUCUCGAAUACUGGAUGACCCCAUCCCAUCGAUUCUUGGUCUCGCGAAUCCGAUCACUAGAAUCAUUCCCCUCCAACUCAUCAUUCAAGGUCUUCAGCUUCUUAUUACUCUCAUUCCAAGCAACCCCAUUGCAGUUAAUAGUUUCAUUCUGAGUCUGAGCCUUCGUCGACCGAGUCCGACCGAUUAAACCGCAUUGGGAAUGAACCUCCAAUGCAAAAGCUAACUCGCGUUUCAUACCUUUCCAGAACCCAGAGACAACAAAACUGCGAUAUCCAAAACGGCGCAGAACAGAAACACUAAUCGGGCCACAGAUUUUCGAUUAGACAAACCCAAUCGAUCGAUUCGAAACCCUAACCCCUCGAGUUACCAGAAUAAGUAGAAAAUUGAGGAAGGAGUCGUUGAAAAAUCGGGUCCAGUGAUGGGAUUUUGGAUUGAGAAUGUGGGACUGGAACAAUGUUUGUGAGAGAUGGUGACUAGGGUUUUGGAGAUUGGAAAGAAACGUAGUCAAGGGUGAAAUCGAGGGGCCCAAGCAACCAGCGAAUCAACGAAAAGAUAUAUGAAAGGGCAAUGCGGCGGAUCCUUAAAUAUAUAAACCAUGAAAUUACAAAAAUCGAUGAAAAAAAAUAAAAUUAUUCCAUUUCAUAUCGCCUAAAAAAAUGGGAUUGUCAAUUUUCUUCUCUUUUUCUUUUUACGUGUUAUAAAAUAAUUAUAAUUAAUAUAUUUUUUUAUAUAAUUUGAAAACAAUUUACAGUUGAUUCAAACCUCUAAUGUCGUCUUUCAGACUUUCACGUUCAUUAUUUUAUUAAUUUUUUAUAUCAUAUCCGCACAAGAAAUUAAAACGGUAUUUAUAACGUCUUUUAACUAACUUCAUGCAAAAUUAUUUUAUUUAUAAAAUAGCUUCUUUUUUUUCCAAAAAAUAUUAUUAAUUAUUAUUUUUUUUAAUCCGUCCCGUUCGUAUGAAAAAUUAGUUAAGAUCAGACAAUACAUAACGGUCUUUUUAACGGUUUUCUUUUAACCGUUUUCCUUAUACUAAUCGGGAAGAGGUGGGUCCAUUUUUUUUGUCAUCAGUAGCCAAAAAGGGCCUGGCAACGGGUAUCACUAGCACAAGACUAUGGAUAUUUAAACGUUCCUUUUUUUCUUUUUUUUGAAUAUCGGUUAGUUUGGCGGGUAACAUAAUCAGGAAAAUUAUAUAUUAUUAUUAACUAUGAAAUGUCCAGUUUAAAAAAGACCGAGUGAAAUAAUAAUUUUUUUUUCUAUUUUAAAAAAUCGAAGACAUGCUUCCAUGAGCGAGUGAAAUAAUCUUUUCAGGGAUCACUUCUUUAAUUUUUUUUUAAAAAGAUAAUGAUUUAAAAUUAUUUAAAAAAUUAUUAUUUCAAAUUUUAAAAGAUAUAGGAUAGGUAAAUACUUAAUAUAAAAAAGUUCGUAUUAUUUUUUAUUUUUUAUUUUUAAAAAAAAUCACACCUAAAAUCAUUUUUAUAAUUUAAAAAAUAUUAUUUAUUUUUUUUAAUUUUAGGAUAUUUAUUAUUUUAUUCUUUUUAUAAUUAAACAAAUUUAUAAAAAACCAGUAAAAUUUAUUAGAUGAAAUAACAACCAAGCAAAUAAUAUCUUUUUUUUCAAUGCUUUUUUUUUUGGCAUAAACAUCCUAUAUUAGAUUAAAUUUAAUUUGAAAAAUAGAGUGGAAAGGGGAGUUUAAAAUAUGAAAAAUUUAAAAUUACUUACUAUGACACUCUGUUUUUCGACUUUUUUUUUCUUUUUAACAAAAUAAUAAAUAAAUAUAUAAAUGGCUCCACGUGGAUUUCAAUUAUUAUGUUUGGACUGGGUGAAGUCACCGGCAUUAGAAUUCUGUUGUUCUGGCUCUCUGCUUCAUAUUGGAAAUUUGAUGGAUGAUCUCCAAAAGUUGCCAGUCUAUACAAACAAUAUGAAAAAUGGAUGAAAAAAUUACAUAAGUUACUAAUUUAGUGAUUAAUUAGAACUAUAACCCCAGAUGCCCACUAAGACGAUGAUCGUACAUCCCUUCAUAAACUUCACUUUGAAGUUUGGACCUGGCUGCUUUAUGUUUAAAUAAUUUUUAAUGCUAUUUAAUAAUAUGAAUACAACCAUUCAGCAGAGUCUUGACUUUGAUUGGCUAUGAUCUCCAAUUAUUUUACCGUUUCUUUUUGUAUUGGUUGAUUAUUUGUUGUACGCUAGAGAUAUUAGACCAAGAUCAAUCCAGUAAUAUAAAUAAUAUAAAUGCACAGGAAAGACACUACUAAAAUUGGGUUUGACCCAUGAUAAUCUUCAUCUAAUUUGGGCAUGAAAAAGAUUCAAGAUUUACCCAACUAUUAGAACUGUAACCCAAGCAUUACCCAUACAACCAGACUGCAAGUCUGCAAUUAUAAACUUUGGCCAGAGGCCUACGUGCAUUUAUGAUCAGCUGGCGAGGCACUCAUGAUUUUUCAUGCUUAAUUAUAAUUAUAAUAGAAGAAAAGAAAGAAAAGAAACCAACAUAAUCUGACUCGCCCUUGUGAAGGUUUCCUCCAACAGACUUAGCCCACUUCACAUAGAAGCGAAGAGAGAGAUUUGGAGGAAGCGAAAAUGCCAAAGGAUCGAAGUUGCCCUACACGAGAAACCGCCCUUCAGAAGGCGAUUCAGUCCGAGUAGUCCCCAUUUCUCCCACUGUCGUGAAUCAACGAGCGUGGGGAAGGAUAUGCACACCUAAGAAAGACUGCGGCCACCAUGGAUAGGAGUGGAUGUGACCACCCCCCACCUGGUUGCUUGGAGGCAUUGGUGGGGGGUGGCUCCGUGGAGAGAAGAUGAAGCUCAGGGUCACAUGAUGGUACGGAGAGGGUUGAUCGGGGAGGCCUGGUGUGUUGUUAUAAGGAUUUCUUGGUCAUGGGAGCAAUAAAAGGAUGAGGUGACUUAAGUAGUAGUGUGUGGUCACUUUUGGUUAAAGGAGGCAAAAAGAAAGUAGGGUGAGUGAAAUGGGACUGAAAGUUAGCAUCUUCCAAGGGAUAUGCCAUUGUGCCCUCCACUGGCUCCACAUCUCAUGACAGCUCCCCCUUCCAUUCUUUUUCCCUUCAUUUUCUUUUCUUGCCCUACACUCUAUACUCAUUUCAUCAUUUGUU